rnacentral:lncRNA from 1 species
CUGUGCGUCGGUGAGGCGGAGGAAGGUGGAGUCCGACGGGAAAUGGGCGUCGCCUUGGUAGGUGAGGUCGGUCGGCUGGUCGCCCCAGAAGUCGUAGGUGAAGGACGUCGAUUGGGACUGCGCCACGUUGGCGGCGGCGAGGAGUAGGGCGACGGAGGAGAGGAGAGGAAUUAGGGUUUGGAGAAGCUUGGCCAUUGCUUAAUUGAUUUGGAUGUGGUGGAUGAUGGUGAUAUGUCUUAAGCUUGCACUCCUAUAUAUACUAGUGUAGUUCAUGCAUGAUAAUGUUGUUUAAUCAUCAUAUAUUUUAUUUCAUUAAAAUGAAUCACCUCGUCCAUUCGAGGUAAAUGAACCAUGUGAUCUUAUGUACUACCAGCCACAUUUUAAUUUGCUCGUUGGAAUAUUAUCUAUAGUUGUAUCUAUUGUAUUUGUAUAAAUGAUUUUUGGAAGGGAACUUAGAAAAAGUUCUUGAUAGGGGCUGUAUUUUUUAAUUUCAAGUGCAAAAUUAAGUUUUGAUAGACAAUUUACUUAUGAUUCAAUUUAACGAUCGGGUUUUCUGAAAAAAAAAAAUUCACACAAAAAAUCGAUUAUUUAAUAAUUUUAUAAGAAAAAAGAAGAAGAAGAAAUUUUCUAUUUAGGAUAUACACGAGCAGAUGAGAUCCUCUGUCCCACUAUUUUGUGUGUACCACCAUGUACCAUUCUUAAUUUAUUUAUUUUAGUAAUUAUUUUUUAUAAAAAUAAAAAUUAUUAUUAUAUUUUUUAUUUUCAUUUAAGUGAGUUACUAGAUUUAUUUGGGGUGAGCACAGGUUAUUUUGGAAAAGGAGAAUAUCUGUAAGAUGAUGUGAAAAUUAUUCAAUAUAAGCACAUAUAGGGGUUGAGUUCUCAAAGGAACUUAAUUAAUAUCCAAUGUGAUUGAUACAUUUCGACUAAAUGGAUGGACUGUGACGCCCCGACCAAAAGUAAAGAGUGAUUGUGAUCGGUGCACAAGGCAUGGAUGAAAAGCGGUUCCUAGUAAUGCUUCGAUACGGAGGAUACAUGAAUGAAUCGAAACACACCAGAAAGAGAGGGAUUCCAUGAGUACGUACGCAGGUAUAUGACUGCAUAUUCGAGGAGCUUAAAUAAUUUUAUUGGUGUUACUCAUAUCAACAAGAUGCAUCUUCUUUUUUGGUGACCAUAUGAAAUAAACUCCAAGGUUAAGCGUGCUUGGCGUAGAGCAACUUGAUGAUUGGUGACCUCCCUAAGAAGUUUAUCAGAAAGCGUGCUAGUAAGAACAAAACAUGCUAGAAAAGACUCAUAUUAGUCUGUGGGGACAGCCGUUAAAUUUGGAUUCGGGUCUUUACAAGUGGCAUUAGAGAUUAACCUCUCACAGUAUGGUGCGGUUCGGGAACGAACCAAGCGGAAGUUGGUACUCAAUAUUCCAUCUAUUGUGAGUUUCUUUGUCUUCUUCAUCUUUCUUUUACUCUGCUGUCGAGUUUCAGAGAGUAAUCAGAUAGGUUUUCAUUCGAGUUGAGUUUCUUGAGUGAUAAACUGUUAAUUGUGAGUUUCAUUCGAUCAUUUGUUGAUUAUAAAUAUCUGCACAUGGAUAUUGGUCAAUUUAGAUACACUGAUCUUCAAAUUGAUUGACGAAUCUUUAGAAUUCAAAAUUUAAAUCAAAUACGCGUGUUCAUAGUUAAUUGGUAAGUACACUUUUUUUUNAUAUAAAUAUAAUUGACUCGAGAUCUCUGCUACUUACGCAUACUUCGCUCGAGACAAAAAUAAAUAAUUGAUCAUUGAGAACUCCGCUACCACACCAUACUCGUGUACUAUUUAUCAUUGUUUAUGAUUAUUAAUAAAGACGUGUCUUUGCCUGAUAAAUUUAAUUUUCAUACUCUUGAUUCUUUUUUGGCCAUAUCAUUUUUUAAAAAAUUGGGAGGGGAAUGGUGGAAAUUGAAUAUGAAAAAUACCAGUCAAAUGAUACAUGUGCACUUUCAAAGACAAAACAUAAAUGUAACCUUCGUUUGUAAAACAUAGAAAUUCUACCAUAUAUUUGUGAUUAUUUUACCUUUAUACGAUCUAUUUAUAUAUAUUUAUUAGAAUUAAUAAAAAUAUACUACAUUCGUCCACGAAAAAGAAUCUCAUUGUGUGCUGGAUGUGAGUCGUAUCGAGAGUGAGAGGGAACACAUUGUCUCCGGUCUCUGCCGUCUUGGCGAGAUCUUCGGCAUUGGCCUGAUCCGGCCGCUGAGGUGGCCGGUAGGUCAUCCAUGGAGUAUGGCUAUAUUCAUACUCGUAUCCCAUUUUGGUUGUAGAACAAGAAGGCGGUGUUGUUGAAAUCGUCGUCGUUGAUAUCCUUUGGAAAACCGGCUGGGAUAGUUUUCGCCAUUAGAGUGAUGUGCGUAGAAGAGAGGAUCUUCCGGCGGUCUUCGCGGAAACCGUUGUCGCGUGUCCAUAGUUCAUGGAUUGAAAAUAUGCAGGUAAAGCACCCGGCGUACUCGGCCAUACAAUUAACUCGCCAUCAUGAGCUAUAAUUCUAUUCGAGUAAGUUCAAUCUCUAAUGAAUUAAUAUAUUUUUAUAAAUAUAUAAUUUGCAAAAUAACCUUAAAAUAAAAUAUGUAAUAAGGGUAAAAUAGGCAAUCCACAUGUUGUGCUCAAUGCUCUUUUUAUAUUACUAGGAGAAAGAUAAUUAAUGUUAUUUUAUCUAAUAAAAUAAAAAAUAUAAAUAUAAUAUUUAUUAUAUUUAAAUUUUUAAUUAACAAUUUUGUUUAUUUAAUUCUCUUAUCUCUUACAAUAUUUUUUUUUAGAAAAUCUAUUAGUUCAUUACUUCGACUAAAUAUAAUUUAUUGGAUAGAUAUAUUUAUUUAUAAGCCUUAUCAAUAGCUAUAGAUAUAUAUUACAUAGAUUUAAUGUAAUAUUUAAUGAAUCAAUAGCUCUUUUCUUUUAUAUUAGUAUAGAUUAUAUAGAUAGAUAUAUAUAGUGCAUGCAUGAUAAUGUUGAUUGAUCAUCGUAACUAUAUAAUUUAUUGCACUAAUAAUGAAUCACGUUCCCACUCGAGGUAUAUAAAAUGAAUCAUGUGACCUUUUCUACUACCCGACACAUUUUGCUCCUUGGAAUAUUAUUUAUAAUUGUGUCUAUUGUAUAGUGCAUGCAUGAUAAUGUUGUUUAAUCAUCAUAAAUCUUCAUGGCUCAUCCACCUCAUCCAAUCGAAGCAUAUAAUGAACCAUGUGAUCAUAUCUACUACCUGACACAUUUUGCUUCUUGGAAUGCUAGCUAUAAUUGUAUCUAUUGUGUGAAUGUAAGCAAAAGGGCGCGCACAAUUUUUUAUUUUUUUUUGGAUAGGUGACUCGCUCAAAAUACCUAUUGAAUUGACUCGUAAUCGCACGAGGUCAUUCUAGCGUAGUAAGCUAACCCAUGUCGUAUCUCACAAGGAAGAUUAAGCAGGACGACUAAUUUUGGAUUAUUUUUAAUCAAAUGUUGGAUAUUUUUUAAUUAGAGUAAAAUUAAAAUAAGUAAAUUAUUGUAUAUUUUCAGAUUCGGAAACUAAUGGCUUUAUUUUAAUUUAAUCAUUUUCAUAUGUCAGUUAUAUUAUGUAAAUGACGUUUUUAGUAACAAACAAAUGACAUUUUAAUCAAUAAAUGAUACUUUUAUCAAUAAUAAAUGAAACCAUAUUAAGGUAAAUAGGGUAAAGGUUAGACUUAACUGUGAAAGCAUCAUGAGUUUUAUGUGUAACAUUUUCGGUGUGAAAAUUGAUGAGUUAAAAAAAAUGCUCCAUAUUGAAUUCGACAUUAGAUGAAUCUACAGUAGAUUUUCAUGCAUGAUCUAAGAGCUGAAAAUGAUUCACGGUCUAUAUUUAUUCUAUCAAAUUCCAUAUCACUUUAAAUCUCAAAUUACAUUUGCACUAUAUAUGAUUAUAUCCUAAAUUAUCAUAAAUAUGAACCGCUUAAAUCUGGCGUCGUUGCACCGCGGACAUCUUGCCGCUGCUUUCUCCCACCAUUGCCCUUGCUGCCCUCAUCUUAGGUGCCAAUUUUUUGCUCGUCGUGCAGAAUUUGAAAGGGGUAAAUUAUUUUUUCAAUUUUUUAUUGCAUUUUGCUGUCUAAGUUGAUUUCUCAAGUAAAGUGGACUUGGGUUUUGUUUCGAUUAUAGCUGAAUUCGAUGGCGCUGUGUGGUUAGAUCUGUAAUUUUGACGUGUUGUUGAAGUGUGCGGGAUUGAAUGUGAUCUGGGAGAAUUUAAGGGUUUUGGGACGUUAGUAUGAUGAUGGUGGGAUUUGAAUGAAUUUGAAUACCAGAUUAUGGUUGAUGUUUAAUUAUGUGAAUCUUGCGAUCUGUGUUGAAAUUAAUGUACAGUAUCUUCGCCUAGCCGGGGGUUCACCAUUUGGUUCCCGACCGUCCUGCUGCCUUCACUCCACACUCAAGUGCCAAUAUCUUCUUCUCGUUUCUCUUCCUUCUUCUUCUCCUCUUAGUACCUGCAAGACAGAAGGAAAAACCAGCAAGUAUAAAGAAAAAUCAGAAAACUUAAAGAAGUAAAGAAAGAAAGAAAACAAAGGAAACUCGAGGUGGGAAAAAGGUGUCCUCGGGACACAGGUGGCUCAGAUUUUUCCCACAGUGGCAACACACUCCGGCAGCUCAAAGACCACGGCACAAAGGGGAAGGGAAGUCAGAUCGGAGCUCAAAUCUGACGAGCACAGCCACCAAUAAUCAGGAAUCCGGUGGACAGGAUUCCGGCGGCUCAGAAAUCCUUCGCUUUAUCACCAAACAGGAAAUCUAAGGUCAGCAAUCCGACAAUAAUGCUAUCAACAGGAGGAAGCUCUCACUUUACGGCCACAACACCGGAAACCAGAACGGAAACCAGAGAACAGAAGGAAUAGCAGAGCCUUCAAGGUUGUGAACAUACUACAGAACUUCCCCCAAUCGAUUGCUUUAUAACCGAGACAGAGAAGGGUCGGGAAGAUGUAGUGGGCUUUGGGAAGGAGGAGGAAGCCAUUAAUGGUGGUGGAGCUCGAGGGAAAGCGAGAUCAGCAGUCGUGAAGACUUAGGGUUUGGGAGGGGAUUUGAGGUGGAGCGGCGGAGGUUGAAAUGAGGGAAAGGCCGAGUGAGAGAGGGAGUAUUUCAGUGGAUAAUGGGCUAGGGUAUUUUUGAGUUAACGGGCUAUAGGUGUCUGGGCCCAAAAGUUGGGCCAGAGAAGGGAUAAAGAGCAUUGGGCCAACAUUCCACAAUUAAGACAAUUAAGAGUAGAAAUUCUUCUUGAUUUGCUAAUUUAUUUAGGAUUAGCGAUAUUAGUUUGGAGUUUUAGAUGUCGAUUGAUUUCGUGAUCUUGAUUUAUGUGAUAAAUGCCUCUCAUCACUAAGAUUUGGAAUAUAUUGGAUAUCUAGGAUAGUGAUAUUAGUUUGGAGUUUUAGAUGUUGAUGUGUCUUUUUAGGCUGCGUUUACUUUGAUGGAUAAAUUUAUAUAUGGAAAAGGAUGGAUAACACAAAUUUAUGCUUUUAAAUGUCUCCUUCCUCUUCCAACAUUUGACACAAAAAGAGAUGCUCGCUAUUUUUUCUUCCUUAUCUUCACUUCAAGGAUGGAUAAUAUUAUCCCUCCAUUUUGGUGUGAUAAUAUUAUCCAUCAUUGAAGUGAAGAUAAGGAAGGAAAAAUAGUAGAGCAUCUCUUUUUGUGUCAAAUGUUGGAAAAGGAAAGAGACAUUUAAAGGCAUGAAUUUGUGUUAUUCAUCAUUUUCCAUAGAUAAAUUUAUCCAUCAAAGUAUACGAAGCCUUAUGUGAUAAAUGCUUUUUUAGGGGGGCCCACGGGCAUGCUGCCCCAUAUGCUAUGGAGUAUGGACCAUGGUGGCUCGGUCACUGCGCUCUCGAUUGCGAAUUAUUUUGCAUUAUCUUUGUUUGUUUUUCUUAUAUUGGGAAAGAAAACAUAGAGUAAUAUAUAUUUUAGAAGUCCAGUUACCAAUGUCGUCAAUCUCGAGUGAAAAUAAAUAUUACCAUAACACAAAAAUGACAAAGCUAUUGAUUAGUGACGAUAUGUUAGAAGUUCAGAUAAACAACACAUUUAUUCUUGUGUAUAUUAUAUUAACGUUUAUUAUAUAUUAUAAAAAGAACAUAUUCUUUCAAAAUUAUCUUGUCUAUUUUUAGAAGUUCAGAUAAACAACACAUUUUCAGAAGAAAUUUAAUAAUCUCUUACGAUUUACAUAUAAUUUUUAAAUAAUUAAUUAUCUCAGUGGUGAUAAAAUAAAAAAACGAAGUAAUUUAUUAUAUACAAAAUAUUAUGAUUUAUGUUUGUAUAUUAUUUGUUUCCAUUAGUGCAUUAUCAUUUCUAAGUAUCUUCUCACUUGUUCACUGAUUCACUAUUGGAUUAACAUGAAUAUACGAAUUUCAUAGUAUACCAACCGUUCGAUAAAAGUCCUCAAAGAAAUCUUCCAUAGAUAACCUUGCAAAAGUACGUGUAUCUAUAUUAAUAGAAUAAGAGCCUAAGGAAUCUUAAAACACAAUUUUUGGAUUGCCUAUUUUACCACUAUUAUAUAUUAUUUUAAAAUUAUUUUACAUAUUAUAUAUUAAUAGGAAUAUAUUAAUUCAUUAGAUAUUACACUAAAUCUAUGUGAUAUAUUUCUAUAGCUAUUGAUAAGGCUUAUAAAUAAAUAUAUAUCCAUCUAAUAAAUUAUCUAAUAAAAGUAAUGAAUUAAUAGAUUUUUUAAAAUAAUAAAUUAUCAAAUAAAAUAACAUUAAUUACACACGUACGUUCUUUCUGCUAGCUAGUUAAAUAAAAAGAAGAAGAAACUGAGACUGAAAAAGGGAGAAUUAAGAUAGUCCAUUAUUAUCGUCUUAUUUUUAGAACUUAAACGAGAGAAAAGUCCAUCGCUAGUCCUAAUUUACAACACAACACAACACAUGAUAAUAAAUUUAAAUCACACAUAUUGCCGGAUGUACCCUUCCUCCUCUUUGCCGGCGGCGGCAUGCACGAGGGUGGACGUGAAAUACCACGAGACGAUGUCGUGCACGGCGUCUUGGCCUCCGGUGGCCGCGGAGAUCCCGACCUGAACCUGCUGAGGAAGAAUGGCGCUCAGGUCGUACACAUAGCUCACCUCGUAUGUUUGCGAGCCGGCGGCGAGGCUCACGCUGAUCAGCUUAGUGGCUUCCAGGUAGUUGAUGCGCGCAGUCACCUGCUGCCCGAGCAACGCGUUGCCGACGUUGGUCACGUUUUUGGAAACAUUAGAUUCGAUGUCGAUCCCGAUAUGGCGAUAGCUAGGAUCCACUCCGGGGUUGGAGAAGACGUCGAAUUCCACGGCGAAGACGGCGGGGCCGACGCCGGAGGAGUUGAAGAUUCCGAAGCAGCCGCCGGUGAAGCCGAGGGGUAAGCCGACGGGGGCGAUGAAGAAGGUCACGCCGUCGGCGGGGUUCGUGUCGCCUGCGUUGGGGGUUACGGCGAACGUCAGGGUGGUCUCGAAGUCGACCUGCGCGCCGGCCUCCCAGAACGUGAUCGGGGCUGAGUACACGGCCCGGCCGACGCUGUACUGGACCGCGCUGCCGGAGCUGGUGGUGUUGGUCAUGCGGAGGAAGGUGGAGUCCGACGGGAAGUGGGCGUCGCCUUGGUAGAGGAGAUCGGUCGGCUGGUCGCCCCAGAAGUCGUACGUGAAGGCUGUCGAUUGGGACUGCAUGCGCCGUGUUGGCGGCGGUGGCGAGGAGGAGGGCGAUGGAGAUUAGGGUUUGGAGAAGCUUGGCCAUGGCUUAAUUGAGUUAGUAGUAUUUGCUUUGGAUGUGGUGUGAUGAUGGUGUAUUGGUGUUAACUCUUGCUCCUAUUUAUGCUAGUAUAGUGCUUGAAUGAAAAUGUUAUUUAAAUUAACAUCAUAUUUUUUAUUACACAAAAAUGACUCACCCCAUCUUCUCGAGAUUAACUGAACUUGUGAUCUCUAAUAAUUUAUAACCUACCACAUUGUAGUUGUUGGAGUAUACUCCCUCUGUCCCGGUUUUAGCACGAGUUUUAAUAAAUUGGUUGAUUGUAUUAUGAGUAGAAUAAGGAUAAUAUUUUUUAUGGAAGUGUUAAAAUAAUUAAAAUUGAGAAAAUGUUUCACCUAUUUUUAUUAAAAAUAGAAAUGAAUUUUAAAAUAUGGGACGACGGCCAGAAAAAGAAAAUAUAUAUGGAUACUAAAAGUUGGGACGGAGUGAGUAUUAUCUAUAGUGGUAUCUAUUGUAUGAGUACAAGAGAUUUACUUGACUUGUUGAGGUAUGGAGAGAUUAUUACAAACCACGUGAAAUUGAGUUCUUGCUCCCACUGUAAAAGCAAUAAAUAUAGGGAAAAGAAAAUUAAUACUUCCUUCGUCCAAGAAAUGAGUACACAUAUUUCUUUUUUAGUCCGUUCAUGAAAUGAGUACUCAUUAAUUUUUCUUUUUAUCAAGUGUACCUCACACAACCCUUUAAUUAAUUAAUACCUUUAAAAAGUGGGUCCCUUAUUCCACUAACACCACACUCAAUCAUUUCUUAAAACCUGUAACGUCCCCAAAUGAGAUUCAUUUCGUGGAUUGAGUAAAUUCUAUACUACAAAUUAAUGGUUCGAAUUCACUUUAAAAAAUAAACUACAAUUAAGAGUCCCUCUCUUAAUUGGAAUUCAUAGACCAUCUGCUUCAGUCGUGCCCGAAGACAGAAAAGGUUUGGAUUGGAAUUCAUAGGUGGCUAGGGAAUAAAAGCAGUGUGGCCUCAAUCAUUGAAGCACACUUCGAUUUGUUCACAAAUCUUGACAAAGGAAAGGAAGGUCGAUUUUUCUAGCGACAGUAUGGGUCUAUACCAUUUGGUUGCUGUGGAAAUGACGUAACGAGAGCAGAUUUGAGGGCAAGACUUGGGAGAUCAAUGACGUGAUCGAAGAAGUGAAAGUGAGGAUGUGGAGUUGGAACAAGAUUUUUGGACUACAUGUUAAAGAGAUUAGCUCUCAAUCUUGGUUUUCUUGUGAAACUCCUCUUGUUUUGUGUAAUUUGGUCGUAUCUCUGGUACCAAACUCUCUCCUAAUAAAAUUUCUUUUCUGAUUAAAAAAAAAAAAAAGAGUCCCUCUCUUAAUCAAGUAGACUGGAUGCGGUAAGAGAGAAAUCACUUCCAACUUAUCGAUUUUACUAGCAACAACUAGAUUUAUACUGAAGCUAAAUUGGAUCAGACUCUAGGAUUCACUAGUCUUUUACUCAAGGUGAGUCGGUUUACGAGUCUCAAACUCAAGGUGAACUAGAAUGUCUGUCAAUACGAACGUUGGGAGUUCGAGGGUUUUUUAGGACAGUAACUUAGAUUGAUUUGGAAAUUAGGACAAUAACUUUCGGACUUGUAAAAAUAGGACUCUAAUUCUUUUUAAGAGUAAAAUAGGACACUAAUUAAUAAGUGUUACAUCCGCAGGACAUUUUUCGGCCAAUUAUCGGCCGAGAAAUGUCCUACUUUUACGACGCUUAUUAAUUAGUGUCCUAUUUUUACAAAUUCGAAAGUUUUGUCUUAAUUUUCAAAUCAACAUAAGUUAUUGUCCUAAAAAAUCCCCUGACUCCGAACGUUGGAACAAGCUCGGCAAUAUACUGCUAUUCAACAUUAAUGGCACUUUGCACUAAAUGAAUUGGUGUCGAAUUAAUACAUCGUCUUGCUGCUCAUAUCUAUAUAAUAAAUGCAUACCUGCACCUCGAUAUUAAUCAAUUUAGAUACACUAAAUCUCGGAUAUACUUAACAAAUGGAUUAAUAAAUGUAUAAAUUUUAGAUUUCAGAAAAUCAAAUACAGGUGUUCAUAAGGAAAUGAUUAAAAACCCGUGUGUCAUUUAGAUAAGAUUAUUAUAGUACAGUUAACGAUGGUGAAAUAUUCUUUUACAUUAGAUAUAAUAGCAUUCCAGAUCUCAAUGGCAUUUUUUGUUAUAACAAAAAAAAAUUGUAUAUGUUCCAUACUAUCCUCAAACUUCAAAUUAUUAUUUUUCUUUAUUUUAAAAUUUGUAUUGGCACAUAUCUGUCAAUUAAUCAAAUUCAUAUCAAAACAAUAAUUCGAAUGAUAUAUUAGUUGGCUAGCUAUAAAUUACAAAUUAUUAGUGAUUAGGCAUGUUUUACACAAAUUAUUAGCCCAAACAACAUUUGAUUGUGUGCAAUGCACACACUUACUAAAAGCAGAUGUGAUCAUCUGUCCCACAAUUUAGUGUGUAUCACCGUGUACCAUUCUUAAUUUGUCUAUUUUAUAAUUAUUUGUUGUAAAAAUAAAAAAAAUAUUGUUAUAUUAUGAACUCUAAUUAAAAUUUAUAACUAAAAAUAAAAAUUAAAAAAAAUUAUAUACCCUAACUUUGAAUUAAUUAACCCAAAUAAUCAAUUAUUAAUUCAAAUAAAUAUAAAAAAUAAUUAUAAACUCUAAUUGAAUGAGUGAACCCUUAUUAAUUAGUUUCUUAUUAUAUUAUAAUAAAUUAAAAUUGAAGAAAAUAUAAUUAUAUAUUAUAAUAAAUUAAGAGUGGUACACGGUGGUACACACUAAAUUGUGGGACAGAUCCAUGUGCACUAAAUUAUAGGUACGGAGGUGCGGAUGCGGGGGCGAUACGAUACGAGUACGGGGAUACGGGUUCUAAAAAAUUAUAGGGUGCGAUUCGGCAAGGAUACAUCUAAUUAUUAAAAUUUUAUGAUAUACUAAUUGUUAGAAAUGGAUAUUGGGCCAAUUCCUCCCUUAAAAGGCCUUAUAAGGGAGAGGGUUACCUCACCAUAUAAAGUGGCUCAUGCCACUAUCUCCAAUCCAAUGUGGGACACUUCAAUACUAAUGCUUAUAAAAUAUAUACAAUUUAAAUUUUCUUAAAUUAAUUAUAUGUAAUUUACAUUUUAUUUUACCCAAAAGUUAAGCAUUUUCAAUUAUAUAAGUUAAUUGAGCAACAAUAUAACGAUUCAAAUAUUAUUAGUCCAAUAUAUAAGUCAUAACUGAAAAUAAAAUUAUCAAAAUAACCUUGUGUAGGCCUUUCGUGCACGAGAUACGUGAAUUUCGCCUAUGGAAUUUGCAAAUCCGGUUUAUUUUUAUAAAUUGUUUUAAAAGAUACGCACUGGUGAAUCGGUGCGAAUCCGACAAGAAUUCGAGAAAUCACACCCUAAAAGAAUCCGAUUCGCCGUACAUCUAAUUUUUGAAGAAUCCGUGCAUCAUAGGUGAGAAGAAACACAAGAGAGUAAAAUGGUACAUAAUGUAGAAAGACUUUUCUCCAAAAUAAAUGUUACAGUCUUCUAAUAGUCGAAAGGCGCAUGAAAAUGCGCAGUUAUUCGAAAGAAAGGAAAGGCUUAUUCAGCCACACAAUGACAUGGAAUUCGAAUUGAAAUUGAAAUUCAGACAAAUCCCAAACACGGUGAUGCAGAGAUCAAGCGGUAACACGAGGAAUGAUCUUAAUACCACCGAUGGUAACUUCGUCGCCGUUAAUGUGGGGAACGAUGGUGACGACAAUGAAAUCAUCAUCAGCAAUAUUGAUGUUCUCAUAGAGCUCCCUCAAGUUCAAGCGAAGGUCGUUGGCGCUUUCCGCAGCCCUAACCCUAUGCGGAAUCUGCGUGAAACUGCCGGCGAACUCGGCCCUGGCGAGGUCCUCUGGCUUGUCGUCUUCGUCAUUCACGAACACAUCGAACCUCACGAGCUUCGAACUAUCGGUGAUUAUGUUCUCCAGCACGAGCACUUCGUCGGCUUUGCCUUUGGUUGGUUUGGGCACCAAAACCCUGUGAGUCUUGUUGAGAGUGAGAGGGAACAGAUUGUCUCCACUCUCUGCCCUCUUGGAGAGAUCUUCGAUAUUCACCGGCACCUCCCUCCGCGGUGGCCGGUAGGCUGUCCACGGAGUUUCGCUGUGUUCAUACACGUAUCCCAUUUUGGUGUGGUCCAAGCAGUCGGCCACCUUGACGCGCACGAGGUUCUUCUUCUCGUCGUAGAACAUGAACGCCGCGUUGUUGAAAUCGUCGGGGUUGGGGACGACGAGGUCGUUGAUAUCCUUGGGGAAAACGGAUGGGAUAGUUUUCCAUAUGGUCCACAUUCUGUCGACGUUAGCGUGAUGUGCGUAGAAGAGAGGGUCUCUUCCGGCGGAGUAGAAGUUCCCCAUGUCUUCGCGGAAAUCGUUGGCGGGGUUUCCGGUCCAGACGUGGACGCCGCCGUGUGAGCCGCCCUCCGACAAUCCUCCCUUGGCGCGUGGCGGGGGCAAGUCCCCGGAAACGUAAGGAUCGCCCAUGAAGUCGAUGGCGGAUUCGACAUCACCAAUCAUUUCCUUGUACAUCUGAGUGAGAUUGUUUUCGAUGAUCGUUACAGGAUCGGUGAUCGGGGGGGUGGUUAUGGCAAGAGCAACGAGGGCCGGGGGGCGAUGCGUUGGGUCGCGGUUGACGUCGUAGAGCGGGGAUUCUUCCCUGUCGAACGGCCUGGGCAUCUGCAUACCCCUAGGGUUGUCCCAGUUCCAGUAGGGCAGGGCGAAAUCGGGAUCUCCGAUGAGUUCGCCCAUGAUCCUCUCGAAGAAAUAGAGGUACCACCUGUGGAAGGGGUGGAUCCAGAAUUUGUCAUUAGGAGGGACUAAAUUUGUUGAAGCAUGACGUCUCAAAUUAUUAGCCAAUUUUUUUUAGCAUUCCAUACAGUUCAUUUUUUUGUCGAACUACAUUCGAUUAAUUCAACAACAAGAACAUUGAAAGCAUAUAAAUACUUACCUCUCAAAAAUUGUUUCAUCUUCUAAGAAGAUAAGCUAAUUUUCAUCAUGGCAGUUCAUAAUUUUAAUUUAACUUGAGGAUUGACUCAAAUUCAACACUGAGAAUCAACUAAGAAAGGAAAGUAGACAAAAAUAACAUAAAUUUAACAAACUAACAUAUCAAAUUUAAAUCACUAUAAAAUAUUAAACAGUUAAAACGUGGAUACUAUAAUUAAUAAAACAAUGUAUUUUAUUAUCUCUUGUAUUUCUUAUCUAUACUAAUAGAAAAAGAGUCUAAGACAGUCUAAGGCACAACUUGUGGAUUGCCUAUUUUACCCUUAUUAUAUAUUUAUUAUUAUAUUUACAAAAUAUAAAUCUAUUUUGAUAAAUAUUUAUUUGUCACUCAAAUCUAUAAAGAAUACUUUAUAUCUAUAGCUAUUGAUAAGGCUUAUAAAUAAAUAUAUUCAUCCACAACGUACGUUCUUUCUGCUAGUAUAUAAUAAAAACAAAAACAAAAAACUCAAAAUUUGGGAGGCGGUCGAUCCGCUGCUAACCUGUGGAAAGGGAAGAAGAUCCAUGAGUUGUGAACCUGGAUAUCGAUGCCGGGGUGGUCCACCUGGUCGUAGGGGCCGUUGCAGUAAGCGCAGUGGAUGUUGGCCUGCUGAGUGAAGCCACGGGGAUCGUCGGGGUCCGUCACGUCCAGUUCCUUCAUCUUCUGGAUGGCCAACUCAUACUUGCGUACGUAUUCCGGUGUCAGCCUGUGCGCCGCCGGCCUAACGCGAGGUUUAGUGAACCUCGGAAGCUUGUAGUCGCUCUGAACGUCGGUGUAGGGCGGGCAGCAGUUGACGUCUAGAGAUAUUACCUCUUGGUUUCGAGUGGUGUAGGCACCUUCGGGGUCGCAGGUGCUCAGGUCAGGAGGCAAAAUCGGAAGCGCCUCAGCUUUGCGGAUGGCGCUGCCUGCGCCGUAUAGACCGCCCAGCCCAAGCAGCAUGUUUCUGCGGUCUAUACGGCCGCUGCCACCGCCACCGCUGCUGCAUGACACCUGAAAGCGGCCGUGGCUCCGCCGGCUGCUGAGCUGGGAGGGCUUGCGAAAUGGGGAGUUGGUGGCGGCGGCGAUCGCCGUGAAUGAAGAUUGAAGGGAAGCCAUGUUUGAGUGAUUGAUUGAUGGUCGUUGUGAUUACCUGGGGAGGCAUGUCUUUAUAUAGCAGAUGUGACACGAGUUUUAAGAAAAAUAAAUUAUCCGUUGAAUAAUUAAAUCGCCAUGUUUCUAUAAUUUAUUCCUAAUGGAUCUAGUCAAACUAAUCGUGCAAUAUUUAAUAAACCACGCAGCAUCAUUUCCGAGACUAAUAAAUGACAUUUUGAACCAGCUAAUCAAUUCCAUAUAAUUAACCAUUUGCGAGGCUGGCUGCCCUUCACUAAAUGGUUGUAUGCACUUGUCUUUGGAAAAGCUGUUUGGCCAUAUUAUGGCCAGUCAUAAUAUGGGAAAAUAUUAUAAAAGUCAUGUAUUUAAUUUUUUAUAUUUAAAAUAAAAAUAGGAUUUUAUUAGUUUUAUUUUUUAUUACAUAUUUUAGCUAUUUUUUUUUAUAAUUUUUCUGAAUUUUUUAGAAAAAUAAAAAAUAAAAUUACAAUGUGAACAAAAUUAUAAAACUAAUAAUGGUAGAGCAGCGGAGGGCACAGGUGAAGGGCAUGGCGGCGGUGUACUUAUUUUAGUCAAGUAAUUAUUAUUGCACGAAAAAAUAAUUAUUAAUAUAAAGAAAGAUAAUGUUUCAAAGACAUUAUCUUUCUUCAUGUCUAUUAAUUUUUCAUCACAAUAAUAAUUACUUCGAAUUAUCCGUGUUUUCAAUCGUGCGACCUGCACCCAGCCCGACCCGACCCGUUUCACCCAUAUAGUCAGUCUCACCCAAGUUUUUGCCUAAAGAUAAGUAUUAAUUAGUUGUGUAUGGUGAUAUGAGUCUUGUUUGUAUAAAUUAGUAGGCCUUUAAUAAUGAAUUGGCCCAUCUCAGGUGGUUUAUAUAAUUUACUCGUAUGGAUCUAAAUACAACUAAUCAUGAAAUAUUUAAUAUACCACGGAGCAUCUUUCUGAUAUACUAUUUAUAUAGUAAUUUAUUCCUAAUGGAUCUAAUCUCUGACUAUUUAAUAAUUAACUCGCCAUCGUUUAAAUAAUUUACUCCUUAUGGAUACACUCAAAGUAAUCGUGCAAUAUUUAAUAUACCACGCAGCAUCAUUUCUCAUACAAUAUUUUGGACCAUCUAACCAAUUACAUAUAAUUAAACCUUUUGCCAGGGUGGCUGUCCCUUCCACUAUAUGGUUGCAUGUAUUGAAUUGAAAUUUUAUUGAGGAAAAAAUGAAAAGAAAAACUAGGAAUUCAUUGAUAGCACGAAGACGCUAAUUAAGGGCUGAGCCUCAUCAAAACCUUUCCGAUAAAAAUCCAGUGAAAAAAACCACCAGCAAAGGAAAAAGAGUACCAGUCUAUUACAAUAAAAAAAUGAAGAACAAACUCAAGACAGGAACAACGAGAAGCACGAGAGGAUGAUAAAACAUCUAACCCGAAAAAAAAGACCCAAACCAAAGGAGCCUGACAAAUCCGGAGCCAGUACCAGCGCACCAGGAAACUGAAAAAGUUCUGGAGAAGCCACUUCGACCCAAGCACGCCAACCAUCCAAAAGAAACGACUACCACACCCACACCUAGGCCAAGAAAUAUAUAAUAUUGUGAAUAGUUCCCAUGGGAUCGAAACAGACCACCAAAACAAGAAAAAACCUCUAAGAGCAGACUACUCAUUGCCUGCCUGCCUAGUAUUCGAUGAAAUACCCAAACCAGAAAUCAUAGCAUAAAGCAAAAACCGCCACAGCUGGGGAGCGAAGAGCAGAAGGCCACCAAUAAGAUACAUUAGGAUUGCGCAAAGUCUGACAAAGAAAUCAGAAAACUUACCAGACCACUCUAGUUAAUGUAAUCUAUACAUGUCCGCACAUGAAAUUUGGUCAAGUUAGAUACACUAAUCUCAAAUCUAUUUAAUUAACAAAUUGAUUGAUUGAUAUUUUUUUCUGAGAGAAAUUGAUUGAAUAAUUUUUAGACUUCAAAAACUAAUAGUUAAUUGAUUGUUUAGAUAAGAUUAUUAUUACACUUUUAUAUAGAGAUAAUUAGUACUUGAGAUAUGUGCAAUUUACGCAUUCUUCUCUCGAGACAAAAUAAAUAUUAUUGACCAUUGAGAACUCUGCUACCACUACUCCAGUUCUAUUUAUUAUCAGUGUGCCCUCUCGCGCGCUGCACGGGUCACAACAUAUUUGAUUAUUUAAUUUUAGCUGUUUACGCAUACUUCGCUCGAGACAAAAAUAAAAUAAGAUUUAUUGAUCAUUGAGAACUCAGUACCACACCAUACUCGUGUAUACUAUAAUAUUUAUCAUUGUUUAUGAUUAUUACGUGUCUUCGCCGAUAAAUUUAAUAUUCAUUCCUUUAAUUUUUUUCUAUUGACAUUGGAAACUGUCUUGAUUCUUUUUUGGCCAUAUCAUAUAUUUAAAAAAUUGGGAGGGGAACGUGGAAGUUGAAUCUGAAAUAAGAAUCAAAUGAUACAUGUGUACUUUCAAAGAUAAAACGCAAAAUAUAUCAUUUUUUUGUAAAACAUAUAAAUUCUACUAUUUAUGAUUAUUUUAAAUUUAUAUAAUCUAUAUUUGUAUGUAUAUAUAUUCUCCAUUUGUUCAUGAAAAAGAGUCUCAUUGUAUGCUGAAUACGAGUUUUAAUAAAAUGGUUGUAAGUGUGAAAUAAAUGUAUAAUUUGUAAGAGUCUUUACAUUAGAUUAUAUUUUACUCUCUUCGUCCUAUUGAUAAUGACUCACUUUUCUUUUUCGUCUGUCUCAUUGAUAAUUGCAUGUUCCAAAAAAACUGAAACCAUUUGACCUCACAAAAUGUUGUGGGCUCCACUACUUUUUAUCACUUUUAUCCUUUAAUUACUAUUCUUAUUAAUAACCGUGUCGAACAGUAAUGAACUAUUAUCAAUGGGAGGGAGGGAGUAAUAUUUUAAUUUUGUUUGCUGCCACCACCACCACCACCACCACAAUUUAAAAAAAAAAAUCUACGUGAAUAUAGUAAUUAUUAGAACAAAAAAAUAACUAUAAUAAUAAUAUAUUAAUCCGUUAAUUAUCUAUACUAAUAUAAAAAGUGCAUUUGGCACAAAAUAUAUAUUGCCUGUUAUAUCCCUAUUAUAGUAUUUUAUUUGAAGGACAACUUUGUAAAUUAUAUAUUAUAUAUUUAUAAGAAUAUAUUAUUUCAUUAGAUAUUACACUAAAUAUAUUUGAUAUAUAUCUAGAUCUUAUGCUAUAAUUUUUUUUAUAUUAAUUAAUUAUUAUAUAUUGUGAUUUAAUAGAAUUAUACAACUCUAAUAAUUUAUAAAUGUAAAGUUCAGGGAUUGCAUGCAAUGCACACAUUCUAUGCUAGAAAAAAAAUAGAAUUCACUAAGCCGAUGAUAAAUAACACAUACAACGUACUAUUUCUGCUAGUAAAUUAAAAAUCUAUAUGAUUUUAUCUUCUAUCACUACAUUAAUUAAAAUCUAUCUUCCGUUUCAUAUUAACGGUGGUUUUUCAAUAUUUUUUAUAUUAAUUACUACAUAUUGUGAAUUUAUUACAAUUGUUAACCUCUAACAAUUCAUUAAUAUAAAGUUGAUGGAUUGUGUGUCAUGCACAAACUCUCCUGUACUCAUCUAAAAGACUCUAUAUGUGAGAAGAAACCGCAGGAGAGUAAAAUGGUACAUAACAUAGAAUAGAAAGACUUUCACAAAAUAAAUGUUACAUUCUUCCCGUAGUCGGAAGGAGCAUGAAAAUGCGCGGUUAUUCGCAAGAAAGAAAGGCUCACUCAGCCACACAAAACAUGGAAAUCCUAAACACGGUGAUGCAGAGAUCAAGCGGUAACACGCGGGAUGAUCUUAAUACCACCGAUGGUAACAUCGUCGCCAUUAAUGUGGGGAACGAUAGUGACGACAAUGAAAUCAUCAUCAGCAAUAUUAAUGUUCUCAUAGAGUUCCUUCAGGUUCAAGUGAAGGUCGUUGGAGCUUUCCGUGGCCCUAACCCUGUGCGGAAUCUGCGUGAAGCACCCGGCGUACUCGGCCCUAUCGAGCUUCUGUGGCGUGUCGUCUGCAUCAUUCACGAACACAUCGAACCUCACGAGCUUCAAGCUAUCGCAGAUUAUGUCCUCCAGCACCAGCACUUCGUCGGCUUUGCCUUUGGUUGGUUUGGGCACCACAACCCUAUGAGGCUUAUUGAGAGUGAGAGGGAACACAUUGUCUCCGGUCUCCGCCGUCUUGGCGAGAUCUUCGGUAUUGACCGGUUCCGGCCGCUGAGGUGGCCGGCAGGUCAUCCAUGGUGUAUGGCUAUAUUCAUACUCGUAUCCCAUUUUUGUGUGGUCCAAGCAGUCGGCGACCUUAACGCGCACCAGCUUCCUCUUCUCGUUGUAGAACAUGAAGGAGGCGUUGUUGAAGUCGUCGGGGUUGGGGACGACGAGCUCGUUGAUAUCCUUCGGGAAAACGGAUGGGAUCGUUUUCCAUAUAGUCCACAUUCUGUCGACGUUAGCGUGAUGUGCGUAGAAGAGAGGGUCUCUUCCGGCGGAGUAGAAGUUCCCCAUGUCUUCGCGGAAAUUGUUGGCGGGGUUUCCGGUCCAGACAGCCGCCCUCCGACAAUCCUCCCUUGGAGCGUGGCGGGGGCAAGUCUCCGUCAACGUAAGGCUCGCCCAUGAAGUUGGUAGCGGAUUCGACAUCACCAACCAUUUCCUUGUACAGCUGAUUGAGGUUGUUGGAGAUGAUCUGUACGGGAUCGGUGAUCGGGGGGUUGGUUAGGGCAAGAGAAACGAUGGCCGGGGGCCGAUGCGUCGGGUCGCGGUUGACGUCGUAGAGUGGCGACGCGUCCCUGUCGAACAUCGAGGGCAUCUGCAUGCCCCUAGGGUUGUCCCAGUUCCAGUAGGGCAGGGCGAAAUCGAGAUCUCCGAUGAAUUCGCCCAUGAUUCUCUCGAAGAAAUAGAGGUACCACCUGUGUAGGGAUGAAUCCAGAAUUUGUCGUUAGGGGGGCUAAAUCUAAAAGUAUUUGCAGUGGGGGCUCCCGUCCGCAAGACAAUUUUUUUUAACCAUUCCGUAUAGAUUUAAUUGGCUUAACAUUAGAAAUCAGUCACUUACUAUAAAAAAUAGUUGUUCGCAUUCCAUUAAUUCAACAACAAGUACAUUUAAAGCAUAUACAAACCUACCUCUGUGCAAUUUUUUAAAAUAUUAUUUCGACUUCUAAAAGAAUAAACUAAUUUUCAUUGUUAAUUAAUAGUUCAAAAUUUUAGUUUAUCUUGAAGAUUAACUCAAAUUAAAUAUUCAAUAUUACCUAAUUAAACAAAAAUGAGACAAAAAUAACACAAAUUUUUAACAAACUAACCUAGCAAAUCACUGUAAAAUGUUAAGCAAUUCUUUCUUGUAUUUCUUCUAUAUAUUAAAAACAAAAAAAUUAGGGAGGGGGCUUCAGCCCCCGUGGAUCCGCCACUAACCUGUGGAAGGGGAAGAAGAUCCAUGAGUUGUGAACCUGGAUAUCGAUGCCGGGGUGGUCCACCUGGUCGUAGGGGCCGUUGCAGUAAGCGCAGUGGACGUUGGCCUGCUGAGUGAAGCCGCGGGGAUCGUUGGGGUCCGUCACGUCCAGAUCCUUCAUCAUCUGGAUGGCUUUCUCGUACUUGGCUAUGUAUUCCGGUGUCAGCCUGUGCGCCGCCGGCCUCCUGCGAAGCUUUGUGAACGUCGGAAGCGUGUACUCUUCCUCGUCGUCCGUGUAGGGCGGGCAGCAGUUGGCGUCUAGAGAUAUUAUCUCCCCGUUUCUAGAAGUAUAGGCACCUUUGGGAUCACACUUGCUCAGGUCAGGAGGUGAAAUCGGAACCGCCUCAGCUUUGCGGAUGAGGCCGCUUGCGCCGUAUAGACCACCCAGACCAAGCAGCAUGUUUCUGCGGUCUACACGGCCGCCGCCGCCUCCAUCACUGCUGCACGACACCUCAAAGCGGCGCCUCCGCCUGCUGGCGAGCUGGGAGGUGGUGCGGAGGUUGGGGUUGGUCGUGGUCGCCAUCACCAUGAAUGAAGAUUGAAGGGAAGCCAUGCUUGAUUGAUUGAUGCUUGCAUUGCGCUCGAGGCAUGCAUGUCUAUAUAUAGUAGGCGUGGACACGAGUUUUAAGAAAAAUAAUGAUACUUAAUGGGAUUAUUUUCGAAAAUGAAUUAGGAAGAUGUUUUGGAGACGAAAAUAGAAAAUUGACCUUUUGCCAGGCUGCCCUUUCACUAAAUGGUUGUAUGCACUUAUCUUUUUUUUAUCUAUAAAGAGGUAUUUUCUCCAUUUAAAAAACUUAUCGAGGUAAUUAUGAAGACUAUUCAUUUUUAUCGUUGUAAAGUUAAUUAAAUUAUAAAAAUUAAAGUUGAUAAAGUUCUUAUUAAACAUCAUCGCUCUUCUGUCUUUGGACGACAAAAUUAAUUAUUUCAAAUAGAUAAAGAACUUGAUUUUCCGAUAUGGCUUCUCAUACUAAUUAAAUAAUCUAAUCCUAUAAUGUAUUUCAUAUAAAGUUAUCAAAUUAACAAUAUUCUGUGUGAAUUUUUUUGCCUUGAGUGUGUGUAUAGAGGUAGUCAGGGCCGGCCCUGAGGGUGGGCGGGCAUGGGCGACGGCCCAGGGCCCCAAAAAUUUGAGGGCCCAAAAUUUUUAAUAUAUCCUAUUAAUUAUAGAUCUUAUGUAUACUAACAACAUAGUUCAUCUAUUGAUUUUGGGCCCAACAUAAUUUAUUCUCAAAUUUAGAUCUAUACUUAAUAUAGAGAGUUUUCAAUUUGAAAUCAAUUUCAAAGUAAUUUCAAAAUUGAGUGACUAUUUUGUAGUUAUAAUAUUAAUAAAAUUGAAGGUUUAUGUUUAAACUAUAUAUUUUUAUUUUUAUUUUUAUUUUCAUUUUCAUUUUCUUUAACUUCUUAUUUGUUGUUACAUUUCUUUCCAAAAUUGUGAAAUUCAAUUAAUUAUAAAAUAUUUAAUAUGCAUAUCAAAUUAAAGAUCACAAUAAGAGUUUUAAUAUGAUAUAUUUUAUGAAAAAUAUUUGAUUUAAAAUGUAAAAUUUAUGCAUGUUCAAAUAUUAAAGUUUUAUAAAUUUCUCUCACCUCUCUCAUCUUUACGAAUAAAUAUAUUUUUAAUUCUUUUAAAUUAGUAUUUUAUUUUUAAUUUUUUUAACUUAUUUUUUUGUUUUUGUAUUUCAUAAUAUCAAAUUUUAUAAUUGUGAAUUCUUUUUUUAUUUUUUUUAAUAUUCAAUUCAAAUAUAUAUAAUUAAAAUUAAUUUUUUAUUAUAUUUAUAAGUAUAAUAAUUAAAUUAGUAUUAAUUUUAUAUAAAUAGUAAAAACAAAAAAUAUUUCCCGUGCAUGAGAUGCAAAUGGUAGUUGCACCUCGCCGCCGGUAAUAUAUUUAAGUAUAUAAAUUAAUUAAUAUUAACAAGGCGCCCGGUGAUCACCGGAGGCAUCCUUGCCGCUGGUAUUUCUGCCGCUACUUUGAAAAAUACGGCCGUCGGUAAAUCUGGCCGCAAAUUGUGUACGUUUUUUGGUAGUGGUAAUAUAUUAGGGCCCAAUUUUUUAAUUUCGCCCAGGGCCUCAGUUUUGUCAGGACCGGCCCUGGAGGUAGUUAUAGAAUUUAUCUUUUGUGUUCUCAAAGGAACUUAAUUAAGAUCCAAUGUGAUUGAUACAUUUCGACUAAAUGGAUGGGCAAGAUUCUUUUAACGCCCAAUAUUAAUUCCAUCUCAAAUCGGAUCUUAUAUAAUACUGUAUUUUAUAUAUUCUAUAAUGCAUUUUAUAUAUUACGUGUCUAUUAAAUUAACAUUGAUCUUAGGAGUGAUACAAGUUUAAAAAAAAGCUAGCUGUAUAUUUGGUGAGUAGAGAAGGGAUUUCAGAAAUUAGAAAAAAUGGUGAUAGGUAGUGGAAUUAUUUUAAAAAAUGGACUAAAAAGAUGUUUCAUGAACGAACGAAAAUGGCAAAAUAGGAAGAUGAGUCGUGGUCGGAGGAAAUAUUAUAAUGCAUCGUAUCCUUUUUUGGUUCGUAUAAAGAUUUUUAUUUGAUCCUCAUCGAGAACAUGCAUAUUGCGAAUACUUAAUUUAUUUCAAUAUAUAUAUAUUAAUUUAUUGGGAGCAUAUGCUAAAUAAAUUAAAUUAAUCCGAAUCAAAAGCGCUUAAUUAUCACUACAUUACAUGCAUUAUGACAAAAAGCCUGCGGCUAAAGAUCUUCAGUUUAAGUCUAUUGUCAUAUUGUUUUUAAAAUAUUAUUUAUCCAUUCCGCAUAUGGAUUGGUCAGAUUUAGAUACACAAAUCUCAAAUGUAUUUAAUUAACAAAUUGAUUGAUAAAUUUUAGAAUUCAAAAAUUAAAUCAAUCAAAUACGCGUGUCCACAGUCAAUGGAUUGAAAAUAUGCAGGUAUCUAGAUAAGAUAUAUUAUUAUUAUUAUUACACUGUUAACUAUACUGCAGUACACUUUUAUAUAUACAGACAUAAUUAAAAUAUGCAGGUAUCUAGAUAAUAAGAUUAUUAUUACACUAUUAACUAUACUGCAGUACACUUUUAUAUAGAGAUAAUUACUAGAGAUAUGUGCUAUUACCCAUACUUCGCUCGAGACAGAAAUAAAUACGAUUGACCAUUCAAUUAAACACUACGACACCAUACUCGUGCAUGUACUAACGAUCUUAUUAUAAGUGCACCUUCCCGUGCGAUGCACAGGUCAGUAGAAUUGUAAUCGAUAUUGAUGUGAAUAUCAUCAUAUUCGAUUCGUAUUUGUGAAAAUACUCUAAUAUUUGAUUCAGCAUUCGAUUCGAUCACGAAUACUAAAUACGAUCCCAUAUUCGAUUCGAUGUUAUUUUUGAAUUAUUUGAUACAUUUUUUAAAAUUAAUUAAAUAAUUUUUUUACGAAUAUUCGAUUCGUUUUCCAUCAUAUUCAAUUCAAAACUAUUCGAUUUGAAAUUCUGAAGGAAAAAAUAUGUUAAAUAAUAUUCUAAAAAAUAUAGGAUUAUAUCCAAUAUAUUUACCUAAUAAUUAAACACACAAUAAUAAAGUGUUCAAUUCAUAUUGUUUUAUGUCCCGUGGUUUGUUUCUAGGAUUGUGGUAAUAAAGACUGAUUGGAUCAGUCUAGUACAGUUGUUGUUUGAAUUUGUAAUUUUGUGUAACGGCAUUGUCAUCUUGUUGAGAUUAAUAGGAGUUAAUUUGUUUAAUUAAUUAUUCAUGAGUUUCUUAUAAGAUACCUUCCUUCGUUCCGUAAAAAUAGUCAUAAUUUUUCAUUUUAGAACGUCCAUAAAAAAAUAGUGUUAUUCCAUUUAUAAACAAUUUAGAUCCUUACCUUUGGGAUGAGAUAAAAUGAAAUUCCAUUUUAAAUCAUAAACUAGCUAUAUAGGAAGCAUUUUCAGCUCUUGAAUUCAUCUGUUGUUCGAAUUUCAUAGGAAGCAAGUUUUUUUGACUCAUUAUUUUCACAGCGAAUUCAUCAUGUUACACAUACCCUAAAGUGAUAUAUUUACCCUAUUUGAUAACAUGAUAAGUAUAUUUGAAGCGCUCACUAUUUUAUUUGAACUUUAUUAUCGAGUUUAAACGAGUUUUGAAAUAUUGAAUUAAAUUGAAAUAUCCAUGUUGAUCGUUUAAGAAGCAAAUUUUUGGCAUGGGUUUAUAAAAAAUACAUCCUAGCCUCCAUCCCUAAUAAGUGCGGUGUGAAGGAGUGGGCAAUAGUUCUUUAAAAAUAAUUGAGAGAUGUGUAUAAAGUGGAUAAAAUGGCUUACUAGAGCUGAUUUGUUAGGCCUUACUUUCUCUCUGCCCCACUAAAAUAAGCUCAAUUCUUUUGAGAACAUAGAUUAAUAAACUUUCUUUUGAGAAGAAAAUUAAAGUGGUGGCAAAAGUAAUGUGGUCCAUACCAAUUAAGCAAUUUGAGUACAUUUUUUUUUUCACUCAAAAGGAAAACGAGCCUAUUCUAGCGGGACAUUCCAAAAUAGAAAACGAGCAUAUUCUGCUGGGACGAGGGAAUAAUAAAUUGUUUGUGAGAUGAGUAGUUUGUAAAUAUUGUGUGUGAAAGGUGUAUGUCUUAAAUUGAAAAGACCAUACCUGUAUUGUGAUUGUACGGAAAGGUGGAACUGAGCAUCGCGGCGGCGGCGAGGCAGGAGGCGGCGGUGGUGAGGAGAAUCGAGAGAGAGAGAGAAAGAUGCCAGCAGACAGUGACGGAGGGCAGUGGGCGGCCCUUGGCGGCAGCGGAGACGACAAGGUACUGGCUGUGCCAGAAUUAUUUAGUUGCAUAGGAUCCUUCCAAAUGUAAUUACUGAUUCACUGUUGGAUUAACAAGAAUUAAAUUACUUCAUAAUACAGUAUUCCAACUGUUCGAUAAAAGCCCUUAAUGAAAUCUUCCAUAGAUUACUUUGCAAAGUUCAUAAAAUUACUCAAAAGCAUUGUUGCAUAGUCCGUACAUAGAGAUGGUCGAUUAUCUUAAUUAUGUCUAGAUUUAUUUACGACACACACACACACACAUCACAAAAUCACACAUACUGACUAAUAAGGUUCCCGAAAGCCGGCAUUAUUAGGCGCCAUGGUGGCCGUGAAAUACCAUGAGACGAUAUCAUGGGUGGUGGGUCCGUCUAGUCUGGUGGCGGCGGAGAGCCCUACCUGAACCUGCUAAGGAAGAAAGCCGCUCAAAUCAUACUCAUAGCUGACUUCAAACGUCUUCGAGCCGGCGGUGGCACGGACGGCGAUCUACUUUGUGGAGGCGGCGUAGUUGAUCCUCGCCGUCACCUGCUGCUCGAGUAUGGAGCCGUCGACCUCCGUCGUGUUUCGGGAUGACCUAGACCCGAUGUCGAUGCCGAUGUGGGGAUAGUUCGGAUCCCACGCGCUGUUGACGUAGGUGUCGAACUCGACGGCAAAUACCGAGGGGUUGCUGCCGGAGGAGCCGAAGAUUCCGAGGUUGGCCCCGCUGGAGCCGGUGGGGAUGGUGGAGCGGCGAGAUUGGUGAUGCUGGGUGUGGUGAUGAAGUUUACGGUGGUUUCAAAGUCGACUUGGCCACCGGCUUGGGAGAAUUGGACCGGGUUCGUGUACAAGACCCGGCCGACACUACCGAUCUGCGGUCGCCUUGGUAGGUGAGGUCGGUCGGCUGGUUGUCCCAGAAGUUAUAGGCGAAGGCCGUUGAUCGGGACUUCGCCCUGUUGGUGGCGACGGCGAGAAGAAGGGCGAUGGAGAUUAGGGUUUGGAGAAGGUUGGCCAUGGCUUAGUUGUGCAGUGAAUGAUGUCUACUACUUGCUCCUAUUUAUAAUGAUCGAAAAUAUCUACUACUUACCUACCACAGAUCCACAUCAGGGGCCCUGGAUGGGGUGGUCGACUACAUAAGCCCAAAAAAAUAAGGGCUCGGAAAAUAUAUAGAUCCAUGUAAGUAUUAUAUAUAUGUAUAAAAUAAUUAAAAGCCAACUAAUGAUUGAAUUGAUUAACUUGGCGCAGUGGAAAAAGGACAUUUUUAAUUCCUCUUAAUUACCAAUAUUUUAUUUAGUGACCAAUUUUUUUGUUUAGAUAUAGGGCCCAGCCCCUAUUUUGAUAAAUUAAGUGUAUGUAUUUCAAAUUAACAUUAUUUUAAGUUGUCGAAUUUUUUUGUUAAGAUUUAGGGUCCAGCCCCUAUUUUGUUAAAUUAACUUUAUUUUAAGUGAAUGACAUAAUUAUUAAUAUAUUUAUUAAUUAUUAUGUAAUUUGAUAAAAAAAUGUUUUAAAUAAUUUUAGUUUAUAAUUAAUUUAUUUCUCAAUUAUAAAUAAAUGGCCUAAAUUAAAAAAUUCGCAAAGGGCCUAUGUUCUCUUAGCCCUACCCUUGCACUGUUGCACAUGGUAUAUAUAUCUAUUCUAUGAAUAUAAGUGAUUAUUUUAUAAACCACGUGAAAGCACUUGUUCCCACUAGCACUAUAAAAGCAAUAAAUACAACGGAAAGAAAAUAAAUUACAAUUGAAUACAUUAGGAGAAAAAUUACUUCUAACCUAUGGAAUUACUAACAACGAUACUUAUACCAAAGCUAAAUUGGACCAACUAACUGUACACUCUUGUAUUAUAUCAACCUACCAGACCUUAGUAUUCACGAGUCUCCCACAGUCUAGACUGAUUCACAAUAUAUACCAACAUUGGAACAAGUUCAGUAAUACACUCUAUUUAUAUAUAUUAUUAUAUACACAAAAAUGCAUGGCUGCUGUGGUAUUACGGAAGGAUCGAGAAUUACUCGAUCCUUGGGAAAAGGUUCAAAUGAAACCUUUAUUAUUACUCUCCGUCCCCCAAAUAAUAUCAUAUCCGAUUUGGGAUAUUACCCCACCACUAAUAAUACUUUAUUUAUUCUAACUUCUCAAUCUUUCACCAUUCUCAAUACUAAUUAUAACACAUUUUCAUCACUUUCAAUACUAAUUAUAAUUUCUUUUCUCCACUGCUAAUACGUACACUUAACAAUUUUUCCUUAAAACCAGUGUCGUCCCCUACUAAGAAGUUAUUUGGGGGACGUAGGGAGUAUUUUUUAAUGAUAUGGCAUCCAAAUAUGUUGUGACAAUCCAGUGAGCAAUAUCAACUUUUUGGAGCUGAAAACCGAUGUGAGGUACAACUAAUACACAAUAUGUUGUGGCAAUCCAGUAAUAUACCCUAAGGAUGCGUCAUCUUUUGUUGUAAAUUUAUCAUGGAAAAAUGAGGGAUAAACAAAAUUUCACCCAUUAAAUCCUUCAUUUUUUCCCUCAUUUCUUACAAAAUAGAAUUUGACCCUUACUCAUUUCUCAUUUUCACUGCAAAGGGGGGCUAAUAUUAUCUCUCUAUUUUUGGUAUAAUGAAGAAUUUGAUACGUAAUUACAAUUAAUUAUAAUGAAGUGUGUAUUUUAGUUGCUCAUAUUCUUGGAUUAUUUAUGCUUUAAUGAAACGAUCCACUGCCUUUAACAUUUUGGCAUUUUAAAGUAAACGCCGAAAUGCAACGAUCCACUGCCUUUUAAGUAAACACCCUUGCUAACCCCUGCAUGCGUUUUUUCAUCAAACACUUGGGUUCAUUCUUUUAGGCAUUUUAUCAAACAGUUGUGCUCAGCCUCAUCCUUUUGAUCACAUUCCCAUAUCUCUCCUUAUAUGAAACCGCAUUUUCUAUUUCUCAUAUAUUUCCUAUAUAAUAUUUCCAUCAUUUCUAGCUCAACAAUAAUUCUUCUAGCAAAAUUAUCAUUUCAAAUGCACUCUUUUCCUUUUCUACUUUCUCUUCUGCAUAACAGAAAUACUAAUCCACCAUAAAAUAAUCAUAACUUUUUCUUAAUGAUACGAUGAGGGCACAAAGUUGAGAUGAUAAAAUCAUACAUAUUGGCGAAUGUUGCCGCCGGCUUCCUCUGACUUUUGGAUGCUGAGGGGAGGGGUGGCGGUGAAAUACCAGGAGUUGAUGAUGAAUUUGAUGGUUGUUUCCAUGUCCACCUGCCGCAGAGACCGAGAUACGAUUUUAGAAACAAACGGCAAAAUUACAAUUUCACAUAUAAAAAAUAAAAGACAAUUAAUAAAGCGCAUAAUAUUGGUAAGAUGCUUCCAACCAAUAGGUCGGGAUUGUAUAUCGUGUGAGUGUGUUUUUCAUUUUUUAGUAAUAACAUGUCGUGCUCGGGGCUUUUUUCCGUAUCUGCCCCUGCUUCCCGUCGUCGUGCCCGACUCGUCGGUUUUUGUCAUGCGGAGGUAGGUGGUGGCGUCGGUGAAGUUGGCGUCGCCUUCCAAGCGUAGGCCUUCCGAAUGUGGCGGCUUUUGGUAGAAGUCGUAGGUGAAGGAGACUGCAUCGCCGACCGACACGGUGGCGAGGAGGAGGGCGAUGGAGGAGAGGAGAGGAAUUAAGGUUUGGAGAAGGUUGGCCAAUUUGAUUAAAUGUAUUUGGAUGUAGUGGAUGAUGGUGUAUCGAUCUCUUGCUCCUAUUUAUAGUUGUAAAUAUAUAUUAAUAAUGGUAUCAUUCAAUCAUUAUACUUUAGGCCGGCCGGGCCGGAUCCUCUAUUCCAAAUUCUAUGUCUCAUUGUUCAUAUUCACUAUUAAUUUCACUAUUUCAAUAAUUAAAAAAAUUCAUAGAGUUUGGGGCAGAGGAUCCCGUUUGAAUCCCACAUGGAUCCUCUGUCCCAUAACUUAUUGUGUUCCUUCCCAUUAUUAAUCUCGAUAUUAUAUUUCUACUUUGGAGUUAAUUCAUUAUAAACCCAUGAAAGAUCAGACGAAAUUCAUCCAAUAAACAUUUAUAAAUUUAUAUUUAAAUUUUGUUUCGCGGGUAUCUGAUAGAUAAUAGGUAUUCGUGGGUGGCGAAUUUGGGUAGCAUUUGAUAUUCAUAGAUAGUUUCAUGAUUAAAAUCCAAUAUUCAUUUAGUUCACGGGUAUGGUAUGACAGCCACUAUCUGUGUACGUCAUACCUGAUUGCCAGUAUGACAAAUAUAAAAGUUGUGAGAUGCACAGCAGCUUAAUUAUUCAAAUAGAAAUAUCAUCACAUGUGCAUUGAUAUUUCACAAAAUAAAUACUACUACUAAUAAAUACUCCCUCCGUCCACCAAAGAUAUGCCACUUUACUUUCGGUACGAGUUUUAAUAAAAUGUGAGUGAAGUUGGUAGUGGAGUAAGGGUCCCACUUUAAAUGUGAGUGGAAUGGUAUGGACCUUACUACUAAAAAUGGAUGUGGCAUAUUUUUCGUGGACGAACGAGAAAGAAAAUUGUGGCAUAUCUUUGGUGGACGGAGGGAGUAGUACUCAUUGAUAAUGCAUGCCAACACAUGGUUCUUGCAAGUCAUAUAUAUACCUCAUCAGCAAUAUAGUAAAAUGAUGAUUUGACAACCAGAUUAAGACACCAAUUAUUCUUGUCGGGACACAGACAUAUAUGCAUAUAGAAUUAAUAUUAUUUACUAUUUCGUUUAUACACGUGAAUUAUGCUUUGGAUGCAACAUCGCCACGUCUCUUUCAUUUAUACUUCUCUAGUGUAUUGCGGACAAAAUAGUUAGUGUCUUUAAGAAAUUAAAAAUUUUCAAAUACAUAAGAAAGAAUAAUUAAUCUAAUUGGUGCGCCGGCAACUAAAACUUUUUUCAAUUCACUUUAUAUUUUAUAUACUCCCUCCGUCCACGAUUUAAUGCCCCAUUUUAGUGUGGGCACGGAGACUAAGAAAACUGAAAAAGGUGAUGUGAAUGAAAUAUAAGGGUAGUUGACUAAAGUGAUAAAGAUGCUGUGAGUGGGUUCACUAGUGAUAAAGUAUAGGAAAUAUAGAAUAUAAAAAUGAUAAAGGUGUUUUAAGUUGGGUCCAUUAGUGGCAAAGAGUAAUAAAUAUAGAAAAAGAAGAGUAAAAAAGUACAAAAAGCAUAAUAGGGCUUUAAUUUGUGGACAAAAAAUUAAGAGCAAGUAGGGCUUUAAAUUGUGGACGGAGGGAGUAUUUAACAUUACAAGUCAAUUGCUUGCAGAAUUUGAGCUUGUCUCCCGUGAUGGAGACCUCACCAUGCGGCAACCCGUGCCUGCGCCUGCCUUUUUUCUUCCCGUCUUGCUCUAUCCAGAUAUUAUACGUGAUCCAACUCUUUCCAGAUAUUAUACGUAAAUGAUAAUUUUACUAACAAAAAUUACACUUUUUAUCAAUAACAAAUGAAACUAUGCAUACAAAACAGGAGGUAAAUGAUAUUUUUCUUAAUAACAACUGAUACUUUUUCAAUGCAAAUAAUACUUCGCAAAUGAUAUUUUAAUAUAAAAGUAAAUGAUACUUUGUAUAAAAAUAAAUGUUAUAUUACAAAUGACACUUUUAAUGCAUACCAAUGACACUUUUAAUAACAAAAAUUGAGAAAAAAAAAUUAGAAUUCGGCCUUAAUUAAAAUUUGGACAACAUUUAUUUGGGCAAAGAAGAAAAACACCUGAAUUUUUUUUUUUCCUUUUUUGAGAGAGAAAAACUCAUGAAAUUUCAUGCAAAAGGUAAUGCAUAGCCAACCGGGCUCAAUCAUCUUUCGGCGGUUUUGGUUUGAUUCUUCCAACAUCUAGGGUAGCAUUCACACAAAAUCAACUCGUGUUCAAAAAUCUGAAAUUAAAAUUAACGAUGUGUCUCAGUAUAGAGAUAAGAACAUACCCCUCAAAUGGUUCGAGCCAAGGUCUAAUUCCUUCAGCAGUGUGAUAUUCCAAAUUUGAGUAGGCAUAUAUCCGCCAAAGUUGUUGUCUGACAAGCGAAUACUCUCAAGUUGUGGACAUUGGUACAAACUCGAUGGUAUAUCUCCUUCCAAAUUGUUAAAGGAUAGGUUCACUAGUUUAAGUCUUUGAAGGUUAUUGUACGUGCNUAGACAACAAGAAAUAUCUAUUGUCUAUUCUAUGACAAAAAAAUUAAAAAAUUCUAAUAUAUCUGCAUCCCUGUAUUACAAUACCAAUAUAUAUGAAAAAAUAAAAAUAAUUAAAAAUCAAAUAAUCAAACAAUACUUAUAAACCACUAAUACUCACAAUCAAAUAUUUACACAUCAGUGUAAAUAUUGGGUUCGAGUCCUCUGCGUGUGUUGAUCAAGCGGUAAGGGGUUAAUGCCUAAGGUCAAAGGUCUGGGAUUCGAGUCCCCUGUGGUGUAGCCUUUUAAUUUCGUUAUUUAAUAUUGUAAAUUUAUAAAAAAAAAAAAGUAUAUUUACACAUCAACAAUUGUAUUAUCUUUAAUACGCCUUCAUUCAUCUAAUAAAAAAAAUCUCUAAUAAAAUCUCCAACUAACUCCGGUCAUGAUCAUCUCUUGAAGGCGGAGGAAGGUGGAGUCCGUCGGGAAAUGGGUACUGCCUUGAUAGAUGAGAUCUUUCGGCUGGUCGCCCCAGAAGUCGUAGGUGAAGGACGUCGUUUGGGACAACGCCGUGUUGGAAACGGAGAGGAGGAGGACGAUGGAGGAGAGGAGAGGAGUUAAGGUUUGAAGAAGCUGGUUGGCCAUGGCUUAAUUGAUUUAGAUUUAGAGAUGUGGUGGAUGAUGGUGGUAUCGAUCUCUUGCACCUAUUUAUACUAGUAUGGUUCAUGCCUGUUAAUAAUUGUAUAUAUCAAUCAUCGUGCAUCUAUCCCAAAUUAUAUGUCUUAUUAUUCACUAAUUAGAUGGAUUAAAUCCUGAUUAGUAACCAUAAAAUUAAACUGUCAAUGAGGCCUUGCUCUAGUGGCAAAGCUGUGACACCGAAUAACUUUUCUUUGUGAAAUGUCUUGGGUUCAAUCUCGCCUGCAUGCGGUGAUGUGUGUCCAUUUUAGGUGGUGUGGUAUUCUUGUCUGCGUGCGGUGUUGUAUUGUUUAGUGUUGAGGUCCCACAUGCAGAGCGUUCUUGCCUGUGUACGUGUCACAGCCCAAAACCAUUUAUUUUCUUUACAAAUUUUAUAUAUGAAAAUUAUUUAAUUUUUAAGUUAUAGAGUUUUUGAAAUAUAUAUAGUAUCAAUUUUAUGUUAACUUAGUCGUGUCCCUAAUUAAAAGAAUGACUUUAAAAUAAAACUUAAGCCUUAAAAAUUUAAUCUACAUUCAUAUAUAACUGAAAUUACAUGCAUGUCUAAAUAUUAUUUAUAAUUAUCAAUAACAAGAUUAAUGAUUCUAUAUCUCUAUGUUUAUACAUGUAUUCACGUAUGACAUAGUAUAUAUUAGCUAUUAAGUUAAAAACUAAUAAAAUACUACACUUUUGCAUAGGAUAUAUAUUUAAUUAGUAGUAGGAUAGGACACGUGUAUUAAUUUUAAGGGCAAGUAAUCAAACUUUUGAAUGAUUCAUCAUGCUUAAAAAAAAAAGAGACCUAGAUAGAUGAUUCAUCAGAUUCAAAAACAAGUAUAAAUAGACUUCGGGUUUGAAAUUUUAAUUAAUUUGCAACAACAAUUCAAACUGACUGUAUUAAGGUAAGUAGUUACAGAUUUCAUACACAUAUUAUAUGAUUUCGCACACAUAUUAAGGUAAGUAUAUAUAAAUAUUUUUUAAAAUCAUAUAUUAUAUAAUAAUUAUAUUUAAGUUUUAUAUUAUUCUUUAUAAACUAUUGUUUCAUUCUAUAUAAUUAGGUGUGGCACGACUAGGACGUAACUUUCUAUUGAAUUUCUCAAGUUAAUCUUAGAGUUCAAGUUUCAGGUGUGAGAUUUAUUUAAAUACAUGUCGUACGUGGUUAUUUAUUGUCCAUUUUAAUAAGAUGUGUUUACCAUAUGUGUUAUGACGCAUAUUUUUAGGAUAUCACUAGGUGCCCAUAAAUAGGAUCCAGGACUUCACCGUCCUUGGAUUGCCACAAUGCGAUUUGAGGUUUAUUUUGAGGAUGUCGUUAGGGGCCCGUACAUAGGGUCCAGGACUUUAAUAGUCAUUGGGUUGCCAUAGUGCAAAUAUUGAGGAUAUAUAUGAAGUGACCGUAUGUGUUACCGUUUCAUUAACGUGGACAAUGAUUGCAUGUUUAAGAGACAAUAACCAAUUUUUCAGACAUUUGUGAACAAAAUGAAGCAUGUUUAGAGAUCCUUAAUACAGGUGUACGAAAUGAUGGAUAAAUAAGUUUGUGAAACAAAUUUCACCAUACCUAACCCCACAAUUAUUUGCGGUCGAAUUUCCUCGUCACAGGAAAAAGAGAUGAUGACAAAAGGGAAAAAAUUAAUUAACAAAGUAGAAGAUGCAUGACAACUGUAAAAGAAAAAUAAUGCUACUAAUUAAAUAGUCCAAACUUCAUACGUUUCAUAUCAUAAGUGGCAGUUCUAUUUUUUUUUUUGCGAAUGUGAACAAAAUAACGAAUAAUUUUUAAAGUAAUAGUAAUAAGGAGAUGUGUUUUGACAGAAAACGACAUGAGCGGCCUAAAAAUAAGAGGGAAAAAGAUAAUCAUAUAAAUAUUCAAAAUCAAACGGAUUGGCAUGUAUUCAUCAUUUUUUAUUUUUUAUUUUGAUAAUUUAACAGUACUCCCUCCGUCCGUCAAAAGUAGACCACUUUGGUUGGGCACGGGAUUUAAUAAAAUUAGUGAUGAUUUUGAUGUAGUAGAGAAAGAGUUCCACCACUUUAUGAGAUGUGUGGUUGAGAUUGAAUUUGUUGUGAUUUUUUUGUAAAUAAAGAGUGUUUGUAAGGAUAAAAGAUUAAAGUGGGUGGUGGGACCAUUUCCAUAAAAGGAAAGUGGUCUACUAUUUGCGGACGCCCAAUAUAGUAAAAGUAGUCUACUUUUGGCGGACGGGGAGAGUAUUAAAUAAAUAAAUUUAAAGGUUGCACCCCUUACUGCUUGGCUUUUAGAUUAUGUUAUAAUAAUAAAAUUAACAGCACGUUUACAAUAUAAAAUUAAUUAUGAUAAAUACAAUAUAUUAAUAAUAAAUACUCAAUUACCUCUUAACAUAAUUCGCGCAUCAUGGCUUUUAGCUUAUAUUAUAAAGAUAUAAUAUGUUGUCUAUAAUAAUCGACGGAAGGUAAUAGACAACAUGUUUUAUAUGUUGUCUAUAAUAAUAUAGACAGUAGAUCUAGUGUUAUAGAUAACAAUUAAUACUUGUUGUCUAUAUGAUGAUAGACACCAAAAAUCUCUGUUGUCUAUUCUAUGACAAAAAAAUUUAAAAAAAUUCUAAUAUAUUUACAUCCCUGUAUUACAAUACCAAUAUAUAUGAAAAAAUAAAAAUAAUUAAAAAUCAAAUAAUCAAACAAUACUUAUAAACCACUAAUACUCACAAUCAAAUAUUUACACAUCAACAACUGUAUUAUCUUUAAUUACGCCUUCAUUUAUCUAUUAAAAAAAAUCUCUAAUAAAAUCUCUAACUAACUCCGGUCAUCAUCUCUUGAAGGCUUAGAAAAUGUCCAAAUACAGCGGCACAUGCUCAUUAUUGUGUGAGCGAUGAGAACUUUGCGCUGAACCUAUAAAGUAACUAUACUUAACUGGUAAAGUAAUUGUAUCCCGUGAAUCUAAAGGAAGACUACACACGUUGAUAGAGUUUGAAAGAAAAGAAUAAAGAGAAUGAAAAUCCAAAGAAUUUGCUUCUUCCGUUGAACAAUCCCUACACAACAUUGAAAUAUCAAUGAAAAUAAUGGCUAUCGUAUACUCCCUCCAUCCAUGAAAGAACUUCAUAGGAGGGAGUGACACGGGUUUUAAGAAAAAAUAUUGUUAAGUGUAUUGAGAGUGGAUAAAAGGUAGUUGAGUGUAUUGGGAGUGGUGAAAAUGUGUUAUAGUUAAUAUUGAGAGUUGUGAAAAGUGAAAAGUAAGAGGAUUAUAAGUGGUGGGGUAUAGUCCAAAAAUAGGUAGGAAGUUCUUUUGUGGACGUCCCAAAAAGGAAAGAUAUGAAGUUCUUUCGUGGACGGAGGGAGUAUUAUUUUGCAGCAGCAACCACGUUUGAAAACUCGAUCCCUCUGUUCUUGAAUUUGUGAAAUUUCCGACUGAUUUAUUAGAUUCACCAUUUAUUUCAGUUUAAUUAGUCUAUAUAUAGAUAUUUCUUAUAUUAUUAAAUUGUUAACCUCAUGGUAGAUUUCAAGAUUUGAAAAUUCAACAAAGAGCUUGAGAAUUAUUGAGAUUGGAAGGGGAAGAUGAAACAUAAUUGGGUGAAAUUAGAAACCAAUUAAAGUCACAAGAUUGAACAAAAACAUAACUUAAAAACACAAAAUAAGCAAAUCGUAGAUGCAGUAUCUUGCAAGAAAAAGUUCAUAUUCCCAAGGCUAUGAUGAGCACGAAUUAGGGUGUGUCUGCAUUUUAUCCCUCUAAAUAGAGGAAUAACAAAAUUUUAUUCUUUAAAUGUUUGCUUUCUUAUCACACAUUCUACACAAACACCAUUUUUUCUUCCUUAUUUUCACUUCAAGGAGGANUAAUAUUAUCCCUCCAAUUUUGGUGUGAUAAUAUUAUCUCUUCUUGAAGUGAAAAUAAGGAAGAAAAAAUGGUAUUUGUGUAGGAUGUGGGAUAAGAAAGCAAACAUUUAAAGGUAUAAAUUUUUGUUAUUCCUCAUUUAGAGGAAUAAAAAGCAAACACACAUUAGAGUCUACUUACAAUUUAGGCGCAGGCUGUGCGAGAAUUACUUAGUCGAAUAGGAUCCUAAGUAUUUAUAUUUCUCAUGUUCUUGUGUAUUUUUUUACUGAUUCACUAUUGGAUUAACAAGAAUUAUCUUACUUUAAAUUUCUUGCUUUAAAAAAAAAAAAGAAUUAUCUUACUUCAUGUAUGGUAUGCCAACUGUUCGAUAAAGGUCCUUUUAGAAAUCUUCUAUUGAUUACCUUGCGAAGACCACAAAACUAGACACACCCAAAAGCAUUCUUGCAUAGUUUAUACAUAGAGAUGGCCGAUUGAUGAUCGUCUUAUUUGUAGACUUAACGCGAGCAGACUCGAUCGCUUAGUCCUUAUUGAUUUACGACACACAUGCUCACACACACACAUACACACAUCACAAAAUCACACAAAUUGACGGAUAAUGUUGCCGUUCAGCUCCUUCCUGAACCUCACCGCGGCAUUUUUCUGCACCAUAGUGGCCGUGAAAUACCACGAGACGAUGUCAUGGACGGCGACGUGUUGUCCGGUGGCGGCGGAUAGCCCGACCUGAACCUGCUGAGGAACAAAGUCGCUCAAAUCGUACUCAUAGUUGACAUCAAAUGUCUGCGAGCCGGCGGUGACUUUCACGGAGAUCAUCCUUGUGGCUCCGACGUAGUUGAUCCGCGCAGUCACCUGCUGCCCGAGUAUGGAGUUGUCGACCUUCGUCGUGUUGCUGGAUGCCCUAGAGCCGAAGUCGAUGCCGAUGUGGGGAUAGAGCGGAUCCCACGCGCCGUUGACGUAGGUGUCGAUUUCGACGGCGAAGACCGAGGGGCUGUUGCCGUUGGAGCCAAAGAUUCCGAGGUUGGCUCCGUUGGAGCCAGGGGGGAUGGUGGAACCGACGGGGGCAAUGAAGAAGGCGAGGCCGUCGGCAGGCUCGUUGUCGGCGCCCGGGGUGAUGAUGAAGUUCACAGUGGUUUCGAAGUCGACCUGCCCACCGGACUGCGAGAAUUGGACCGGGUUCGAGUGCAAGACGCGGCCGACUUGUGAGGGCUGUGCGUCUGUGAGGCGGAGGAAGGUGGAGUCCGUCGGGAAAUGGGCGCUGCCUUGAUAGAUGAGAUCUUUCGGCUGGUCGCCCCAGAAGUCGUAGGUGAAGGACGUCGUUUGGGACAACGCCGUGUUGGAAACGGCGAGGAGGAGGGCGAUGGAGGCGAGGAGAGGAGUUAAGGUUUGAACAAGCUGGUUGGCCAUGGCUUAAUUGAUUUAGAUUUAGAUUUAGAGAUGUGGUGGAUGAUGGUGGCCAGGUAUCGAUCUCUUGCACCUAUUUAUACUAGUAUGGUUCAUGCCUGUUAAUAAUUGUAUAUAUCAAUCAAUCAUCGUGCAUCUAUCCCAAAUUAUAUGUCUUAUUAUUCACUAAUUAGAUGGAAUAAAUCCUAAUUAGCAAUCUUAAAAUUACACCGCCAAUGAGGCCUUGCUCUAGUGGUAAAGCUGUGGCACCGAAUAACUUUUCUUUGUGAAAGGUCUUGGGUUCAAUCUCGCCUGCAUGCGGUGAUGUUUGUCCAUUUUAGAUGGUGUGGUAUUCUUGCCUGCGUGCGGUGUUGUAUUAUUUAGUCUUAGGCGUUCUUGCCUGUGUGCAUAUCACUGUGUGACAAUUAAAAGAAUGACUUUAAAAUAAAAGUUAAGCCUUAAAAAUUUAAUCUACAUUCAUAUAUAACUGAAAUUACAUGCAUGUCUAAUUUUUUUAAUAUCAUAACAAGAUAAGAUUUAUUAAAUAAUUCAGAUGCAUAAAUAAAAAGUUAAUCUAUAAACACAGUAUAGAUAUAUUAUCAAUGAUAGGCCGUGUAUAAGUCUUAAUCUGUAAAACUAUAUCAUCCCAGCCUUAAACGACUACCAUUCCUGCUUUCCCAGAGCAACCACACUGUUCCCACCCACAAAGCUUUAAGCAGUACAUGCAUGUCUAAAUAUUAUUUAUAAUUAUCAAUAACAAGAUUAAUGAUUCUAUAUCUCUAUGUUUAUACAUAUAUUCACGUAUGACAUAGUAUAUAUUAGCUAUUAAGUUAAAAACUAAUAAAAUACUACAGUUUUGCAUAGGAUAUAUAUUUAAUUAGUAGUAGGAUAGGACACGUGUAUUAAUUUUAAGGGCAAGUAAUCAAACUUUUGAAUGAUUCAUCAUGCUUAAAAAAAAAAAGAGACCUAGAUAGAUGAUUCAUCAGAUUCAAAAACAAGUAUAAAUAGACUUCGAGUUUGAAAUUUUAAUUAAUUUGCAACAACAAUUCAAACUGACUGUAUUAAGGUAAGUAGUUACAGAUUUCAUACACAUUAUAUGAUUUCGCGCACAUACGUAUGUAUAUAUAAAUAUUUUUUAAAAUCAUAUACUCCCUCCGUCCCCAAAAUAAGUUCCUCUUUGGGGACGGCACGGAUUUUAAGGAAAAGUGGUAAAGUGUAUUAAUAGUGGAGAAAAAUAUGUUAUAAUUAGUAUUGGAAGUUGUGAAAAGGUGAAAAAGUGUUAUAAUUAGUAUUGGGAGUGGUGAAAAAGUGAAAAGUAAGAAUAAAUAAAGUAUUAUUAGUGGUGGGGUAGUUGUCCAAAAAUGGAAAAAAAGAAAGAGGAACUUAUUUGGGGGACAUCCCAAAAUGGAAAAAGAGGAACUUAUUUCAGGGACGGAGGGAGUAUUAUAUAAUAAUUAUAUUUAAGUUUUAUAUUAUUCUUUAUAAACUAUUGUUCCAUUCUAUAUAAUUAGGUGUGGCACGACUAGGACGUAACUUUCGAUUGAAUUUCUCAAGUUAAUUUUCAAGUUCAAGUUUCAGGUGUGAGAUUUAUUUAAAUACAUGUCAUGAUUAUUCAUUGUCCAUUUUAAUAGUAUGUGUUUACCAUAUGUGUUAUGACGCAUAUUUUGAGGACAUCGCUAGGAGCCCAUAAAUAGGGUCCAGGACUUCACCGUCCUUGGAUUGCCACAAUGCGAUUUGAGGUUUAUUUUGAGGAUGUCGUCAGGGGCCCGUAAAUAGGGUCCAGGACUUUAAUAGUCAUUGGGUUGCCACAGUGCGAAUAUUGAAGAUAUAUAUGAAGUGACCGUAUGUGUUACCGUUUCAUUAACGUGGACAAUGAUUGCAUGUUUAAGAGACAAUAACCAAUUUUUCAGACAUUUGUGAACAAAAUGAAGCAUGUUUAGAGAUCCUUAAUAAAGGUGUACGAAAUGAUGGAUAAAUAAGUUUGUGAAACAAAUUUCACCAUACCUAACCCCACAAUUAUUUGCGGUCGAAUUUCCUCGUCACAGGAAAAAGAGAUGAUGACAAAAGGGCAAAAAUUAAUUAACAAAGUAGAAGAUGCAUGACAACUGUAAAAGAAAAAUAAUGCUACUAAUUAAAUAGUCCAAACUUCAUACGUUUCAUAUCAUAAGUGGCAGUUCUAUUUUUUUUUUGCGAAAGUGAACAAAAUAACGAAUAAUUUUUAAAGUAAUAGUAAUAAGGAGAUGUGUUUUGACAGAAAACGACAUGAGCGGCCUAAAAAUAAGAGGGAAAAAGAUAAUCAUAUAAAUAUGGGUUAAUUGCCUCUAAAUACACCACCUUUCCUUGAAUUCUACAAUUGCACAUCACCUUUAAAAUCCGCCCUUAAAUACACCACCUUUCCUUGAGUUCUACAAUUGCACAUCACCUUUAAAUCCGCCCCAAAAUACAUCAUCUUUAUAUUUUUUCUGUUUUUGCACAUGACUAAAAAAUUCUCAAGAAAUAAAUUAAAGUGUUAAUUUAUAAAUUUAAAUAUCUUUUUAGCAGCGAAAACAUAAUAAAAUAAAAUUCUUUAUAAAGUUUAAAAUCAUAUAUAUAUAUAUAUAUAUAUAAGUAUUUUCGUAAAGAAAUAAAUUCUCUAAUAAAUUUUUAGAAAGAACUUGAAUUAAAAAAAUAAACAAGUCAUGACAUUAAGAAAAUAAAAUGAAAUUUUUAUUUUAAUAAAUUUCACACGAAUUCGAUAUAAUUUGGAAUUUAGAGUUACAAUAAUCAGAAGUACCACAUGAAUAAUAUAAUGAGUUUGAAAGAAAUUUUUUUUAAAGAGGUUCGACACGCCCAUUCGACUUUCCACGCGCCUCCAAUGUCAUUUACCUGAAAUAUUAANUAUAUAAGUAUUUUUCGUAAAGAAAUAAAUUCUCUAAUAAAUUUUUAGAAAGAACUUGAUUAAAAAAUAAACAAGACAUGACAUUAAGAAAAUAAAAUGAAACUUUUAUUUUAAUAAAUUUCACACGAAUUCGAUAUAAUUUGGAAUUUAGAGUUACAAUAAUAAAAAGAACCACAUAAAUAAUAUAAUCAGUUUGAAAGAAAUAUAUAUAUAUUUUUUUAAAGAGGUUCGACGCGCCCAUUCGACUCUCCACGCGCUACCAAUGUCAUUACCUGAAAUACUAAAUAUGGGAUAAGCAUACAUAAUAUACUUAGUGUGGGAACAUGCAAUUAUUGUCCACGUUAAUAAAAUAGUAACACAUACGAUCAUAACAUUCAAAACGACACAAUUUUGCCAAUAUGGAAGCCACGUCAUUUAAAGUGGUAACACCCUAAUCUAACUAAAGUGUUAAAUAUAAAUUUAAAGCGGAAAUAUAAUAAAAUAAAGUUCUUUAUAAAAAUAAAUAAAGAAUUUUAUUUUAUUAUAUUUCCGCUGCUAAAAAAGAUAUUUAAAAUUUAUAAAUUAACACUUUAAUUUAUUUCUUGAGGAUUUUUAAGUCAUGUGCAAAAACAGAAAAAAAAUAUAAAGGUGAUGUAUUUUGGGGCGGAUUUAGAAUUCAAGGAAAUGUGGUGUAUUUAGGGGCGGAUUUUAAAGGUGAUGUGCAAUUGUAGAAUUCAAGGAAAGGUGGUGUAUUUAGGGGAAAUUAACCCUAUAAAUAUUCAAAAUCAAACGGAUUGGCAUGUAUUCAUCAUUUUUUAUUUUUUAUUUUGAUAAUUUAACAGUAUUAAAUAAAGAAAUUUAUAGGCUGCGUCCCUUACUGCUUGGCUUUUAGAUUAUGUUGUAAUAAUAAAAUUAAAAGCACGUUUACAAUAUAAAAUUAAUUAUGAUAAAUACAAUAUAUUAAUAAUAAAUACUCAAUUACCUCUUAACAUAAUUCGCGCAUCAUGGCUUUUAGCUUAUAUUAUAAAGAUAUAAUAUGUUGUCUAUAAUAAUCGACGGAAGGUAAUAGACAACAUGUUUUACUUCUUGUCUAUAAUAAUAUAGACAGUAGAUCUAGUGUUAUAGAUAACAAUUAAUACGUGUUGUCUAUAUGAUGAUAGACACCAAAAAUCUCUGUUGUCUAUUCUAUGACAAAAAAAUUUAAAAAAAUUCUAAUAUAUUUACAUCCCUGUAUUACAAUACCAAUAUAUAUGAAAAAAUAAAAAUAAUUAAAAAUCAAAUAAUCAAACAAUACUUAUAAACCACUAAUACUCACAAUCAAAUAUUUACACAUCAACAAUUGUAUUAUCUUUAAUUACGCCUUCAUUUAUCUACUAAAAAAAAUCUCUAAUAAAAUCUCUAACUAACUCCGGUCAUCAUCUCUUGAAGGCUUAGAAAAUGUCCAAAUACAGCGGCACAUGCUCAUUAUUGUGUGAGCGAUGAGAACUUUGCGCUGAACCUAUAAAGUAACUAUACUUAACUGGUAAAGUAAUUGUAUCCCGUGAAUCUAAAGGAAGAAUAAACACGUUGAUAGAGUUUGAAAGAAAAGAAUAAAGAGAAUGAAAAUCCAAAGAAUUUGCUUCUUCCGUUGAACAAUCCCUACACAACGUUGAAAUAUCAAUGAAAACAAUGGCUAUCCUAUACUCCCUCCAUCCAUGAAAGAACUUCCUAGGAGGGAGUGACACGGGUUUUAAGAAAAAAUAUUGUUAAGUGUAUUGAGAGUGGAUAAAAGGUAGUUGAGUGUAUUGGGAGUGGUGAAAAUGUGUUAUAGUUAAUAUUGAGAGUUGUGAAAAGUGAAAAGUAAGAGGAUUAUAAGUGGUGGGGUAUAGUCCAAAAAUAGGUAGGAAGUUCUUUUGUGGACGUCCCAAAAAGGAAAGAUAUGAAGUUCUUUCGUGGACGGAGGGAGUAUUAUUUUGCAGCAGCAACCACGUUUAAAAACUCGAUCCCUCUAUUCUUGAAUUUGUGAAAUUUCCGACUGAUUUAUUAGAUUCACCAUUUAUUUCAGUUUAAUUAGUCUAUAUAUAGAUAUUUCUUAUAUUAUUAAAUUGUUAACCUCAUGGUAGAUUUCAAGAUUUGAAAAUUCAACAAAGAGCUUGAGAAUUAUAGAGAUUGGAAGGGGAAGAUGAAACAUAGUUGGGUGAAAUUAGAAACCAAUUAAAGUCAGGAGAUUGAAGAAAAACAUAACUUAAAAACACAAAAUAAGCAAAUCGUAGAUGCAGUAUCUUGCAAGAAAAAGUUCAUAUUCCCAAGGCUAUGAUGAGCACGAAUUAGGGUGUGUCUGCAUUUUAUCCCUCUAAAUGGAGGAAUAAUAAAAUUUUAUGCCUUUAAAUGUUUGCUUUCUUAUCACACAUUCUAAACAAACACCAUUUUUUCUUCCUUAUUUUCACUUCAAUGAGGGAUAAUAUUAUCCCUCCAAUUUUGGUGUGAUAAUAUUAUCCCUCCUACAAGUGAAAAUAAGGAAGAAAAAAUGGUACUCCCUUCGUCCCAAACGAAAUGUCCUGUUUUCCUUUUUGGGCUGUCCCAAACGAAAUGUCCUGUUUCCUUUUUUGGCAAUACACUCUCUCUCUAUACUUAAUAUUUAAAUAAUUUUCACCAACCCACUUUAUCUACUUUAUACACAUUUCUUAAUCUCCGUGCCGAAAAGAAAUGGGACAUUUCGUUUGGGACGGAGGGAGUAUUUGUGUAGGAUGUGGGAUAAGAAAACAAACAUUUAAAGACAUAAAUUUUUGUUAUUCCUCCAUUUAGAGGGAUAAAAAGCAAACACACCUUAGAGUCUAAUUACAAUUUAGGCGCAGGCUGUGUGAGAAUUACUUAGUCGAAUAGGAUCCUUAGUAUUUAUAUUUCUCAUGUUCUUGUGUAUUUUUUCACUGAUUCACUAUUGGAUUAACAAGAAUUAUCUUACUUUAAAAAAAAAAAAGAAAUGAUCUUACUUCAUGUAUGGUAUGCCAACUGUUCGAUAAAGGUCCUUUUAGAAAUAUUCCAUAGAUUACCUUGCAAAGACCACAAAACUAGACACACCCUGCAUAGUUUAUACAUAGGGAUGGCCGAUUGAUGAUCGUCUUAUUUGUAGACUUAACGAGAGCAGACUCGAUCGCUUAGUCCUUACUGAUUUACGACACACAUGCACACAUACACAGAUACACACAUCACAAAAUCACGCAAAUUGACGGAUAAUGUUGCCGGCCAGCUCCUUCCUGCUCCACGCCACGGCAUUUUUCUGCACCAUGGUGGCCGUGAAAUACCACGAGACGAUGUCAUGGGUGGCGACGUGUUGUCCGGUGGCGGCGGAUAGCCCGACCUGAACCUCCUGAGCAACAAAGUAGCUCAAAUCGUACUCAUAGCUGACAUCAAACGUCUGAUUGCCGGCGGUGACUUUGACGGAGAUCAUCCUUGUGGCUCCGACGUAGUUGAUCCGCGCAGUUACCUGCUGCUUGAGUAUGGAGCUGUCGACCGGCGUCGUCUUGCUGGAUACCCUAGAGCCGAAGUCGAUGCCGAUGUGGGGAUAGAGCGGAUCCCACGCGCCGUUGACGUAGGUGUCGAUUUCAACGGCGAAGACCCCGGGGCUGUUGCCGUUGGAGCCAAAGAUUCCGAGAUUGGCUCCGUCGGAGCCAGGGGGGAUGGUGGAGUCGACGGGGGCAAUGAAGAAGGCGAGGCCGUCGGCAGGCUCGUUGUCGGCGCCGGGGGUGAUGAUGAAGUUCACGGUGGUUUCGAAGUCGACCUGCCCAUUGGACAUCCAGAAUUGGACCGGUUCCGAGUACAUGACGCGGCCGACUUGGGACGGUUGUGCGUCUGUGAGGCGGAGGAAGGUGGAGUCCGUCGGGAAAUGGGCGUUGCCUUGAUAGAUGAGAUCUUUCGGCUGGUCGCCCCAGAAGUCGAAGGUGAACGACGUCGUUUGGGACAACGCCGUGUUGGAAACGGCGAGGAGGAGGGCGAUGGAGGCGAGGAGAGGAGUUAAGUUGGCCAUGGCUUAAUAGAUUUAGAUUUAGAGAUGUGGUGGAUGAUGGUGGUAUCGAUCUGUUGCACCUAUUUAUACUAGUAUGGUUCAUGCCUGAUAAUAAUUGUAUCAAUCAAUCAUCGUGCAUCUAUCCCAAAUUAUAUGUCUUAUUAUUCACUAAUUAGAUGGAAUAAAUCCUAAUUUGCAAUCUUAAAAUUAAACCGCCAAUGAGGCCUUGCUCUAGUAGCAAAGCUGUGGCACCCAAUAACUUUUCUUUGUGAAAGGUCUUGGGUUCAAUCUCGCCUGCAUGCGGUGAUGUUUGCCCACUUUAGGUGGUGUGGUAUUCUCGCCUGCGUGCGGUGUUAUAUUGUUUAGUGUUAAGGUCCCACAUGCAGGGCGUUCUUGCAUGUGUGCGUGUCACAACCCAAAACCAUUUAUUUUCUUUACAAAUUUUAUAUGAAAAUUAUUUGAUUUUUAAGUUAUAGAGUUUUCGAUAUAUAUACAUAUAGUGUCAAUUUUAUGUUAACUUAGUCGUGUCCCUAAUUAAAAGAAUGAAUUUGAAAUAAAAGUUAAGCCUUAAAAAUUUAAUCUACAUUCAUAUAUAACUGAAAUUACAUGCAUGUCUAAAUAUUAUUUAUAAUUAUCAAUAACGGGAUUAAUGAUUCUAUAUCUCUAUGUUUAUACAUAUAUUCACGUAUGACAUAGUAUAUAUUAGCUAUUAAGUUAAAUAAAAUACUACAGUUUUGCAUAGGAUAUAUAUUUAAUUAGUAGUAGGAUAGGACACGUGUAUUAAUUUUAAGGGCAAGUAAUCAAACUUUUGAAUGAUUCAUCAUGCUUAAAAAAAAGAGACCUAGAUAGAUGAUUCAUCAGAUUCAAAAACAAGUAUAAAUAGACUUCGAGUUUGAAAUUUUAAUUAAUUUGCAACAACCAUUCAAACUGACUGUAUUAAGGUAAGUAGUUACAGAUUUCAUACACAUUAUAUGAUUUCGCGCACAUACGUAUGUAUAUAUAAAUAUUUUUUAAAAUCAUAUAUUAUAUAAUAAUUAUAUUUAAGUUUUAUAUUAUUCUUUAUAAACUAUUGUUCCAUUCUAUAUAAUUAGGUGUGGCAUGACUAGGACGUAACUUUCGAUUGAAUUUCUCAAGUUAAUCUUCAAGUUCAAGUUUCAGGUGUGGGAUUUAUUUAAAUACAUGUCGUGGUUAUUUAUUAUCCAUUUUAAUAAUAUGUGUUUACCAUAUGUGUUAUGAUGCAUAUUUUGAGGAUAUCGCUAGGGGCCCAUAAAUAGGGUCCAGGACUUCACCGUCCUUGGAUUGCCACAAUGCAAUUUGAGGUUUAUUUUGAGGAUGUCGUCAGGGAUCCGUAAAUAGGGUCCAGGACUUUAAUAGUCCUUGGGUUGCCACAGUGCGAAUAUAUUGAGGAUAUAUAUGAAGUGACCGUAUGUGUUACCGUUUCAUUAACGUGGACAAUGAUUGCUUGUUCUCACACUGAGUGUACUCUGUAUGCUCAUCCCAUAUUUAACGUGGAAGGUCGAUUGACGAAUCAAAUAUUUUGUAUUUAGCUUUACCUAAAUAUGUUAUUUUGAGUAAAGUAUUUUAAAUAAAAAUUUAUUUCAUAAUUUUCUCAUUAAAUAUUUAUUUAUAUUCAUAGCUUUUCCGCACAAAUAUUUAUUUAAAUUUUAAUUAGAUUUGGGUGUCACUGUGCGGUGAUGUUUUUCCACCGUUUCGGUGGUGGUGAGGCCCCACCUGCGUGCACGUUAUAUACUUGAUUAUAUUCAGAUACCUCUUGUAAUUUUUAAAAAAAUAAUCAUAAAAUUAAACCAAAGCAUAUAAAAUUGAAAUUGGCCAAAAAAAUAUAUAAAAAUAAAUAAAAUUAAAAAUGGGAUAUAAAGUGAGACAUUAAAUGUGGUACACUACUGAAUCUCAAUCCAACACGUGGAUGCUACAUUGUACUUGUCGGAAUAUUAGAACUUCUACAAAAUAUUGCUAUUGGAAACGUGAAAUUUUAUUAUGAGAAAACUUAUACCUGACCCCACAGUCGUGGGCACGUGUUAUGUUGCGCGGAAAUUAAAGUGGUGGGGACCGUAAAUGGUAUUUUAGUCUUUUAAUUUAUUUUAGUAUACAAAAGAGUUAAUUUUAAAGAGGCGCUAAAAAACACAUCACUUUUAAAAAUUGGUAUUUAAAAUCUUGAACCCCUUUUAUUAUUUUAGAAAGAUAUUAAUUAAUUGAUAAAUUAAUAAAUUAUUAAUUGAAACAAUUAUUUUAAGCAAAUUUAAUUAUAAUUACCUAAAAAUUUAAAAAACAUAAAUUCAAUACCAUUCAAAUUCAACAAACUAACUUAAAUUUUUACUUUAAAAAAUCUUCAUCAAUCUUGCAAUCUCGGCUUGGACUAUAAAUGUUCAACAAGAGACAAUAACCAAUUUUUCAGACAUUUGUGAACAAAAUGAAGCAUGUUUAGAGAUCCUUAAUAAAGGUGUACGAAAUGAUGGAUAAAUAAGUUUGUGAAAAUUUCACCAUACCUAACCCCACAAUUAUUUGCGAUCGAAUAUCCUCGUCACAGGAAAAAGAGAUGAUGACAAAAGGGAAAAAAAAAUUAACAAAGUAGAAGAUGCAUGACAACUGUCAAGAUAAAUAAUGUUACUAAUUAAAUAAUCCAAACUUUAUACGUUUCAUAUCAUAAGUGGCAGUUCUAUAUUUUUUGCGAAAGUGAACAAAAUAACGAAUAAUUUUUAAAGUAAUAGUAAAAGGAGAUGUGUUUUGACAGAAAACGACAUGAGCGGCCUAAAAAUAAGAGGGAAAAAGAUAAUCAUAUAAAUAUUCAAAAUCAAACGGAUUGGCAUGUAUUCAUCAUUUUUUAUUUUAAUAAUUUAACAGUAUUAAAUCAAGAAAUUUAAAGACCGCGCCCCUUACUGCUUGGCUUUAAGAUUAUGUUACAAUAAUAAAAUUAACAGCACGUUUACAAUAUAAAAUUAAUUAUGAUAAAUGCAAUAUAUUAAUAAUAAAUACUCAAUUACCUCUUAACAUAAUUCGCGCAUCAUGGCUUUUAGCUUAUGUUAUAAAGAUGGAGUAUAAAAUAAUCAUCACCUGUGCAUGAUAUUUCACAAAAUAAUUAAAUAAUAAAAUAAUCAAUCAUAAUGCCAAGACGUGACUCUUGUCGGUCAUAUCUCAUCAACUUUAUCUAUAUAGUACAAUGAUGAUUAAUUUGAGAACGACGAUUAAGACACCAACUAUUCUUGUGGGGACACAUGCAUAUAUAGAAUUAAUAUUAUAAACUCUCUCGGUCCACGAAAUAACUUACUAUUUUUUCUUUUAAGAACGUGAACAAAAAAAAUUCCCAUCGAUAUUUCGGAACUAUACCCCACUACUUUAAAAUACCUCAUUUUACCCUUUCUUUUUCACAAAAACAACAAAUUACUAAUAAUUUUUCACUAUUCCUAAUAUACUGAACAAUUUUUCUCCACUCUCAAAUUUUGUAGCACCGAAUAAAAUUAAAUACUAGUAUUAUUUUUUGUAGAACUAUAAAUAAAUAUUAUUCUCAAAACAUGUACUAUUACUUACUAUUUUUUUUAAAUGUGGGACGACCAAAAAAGGAAAGAUGAAUUCUAAAAGCUGGGACAGAGGAUAUAUUAUUUUUCUUCUUGGUUCUGAAGUAUGAAUAUUAAUUAACAAUUCUUCGUCCACAUCAAGCUCACCUUCACGUAAUUUUUUCUUGAACAACACCGAAAAAUAUAUAAUCCCAACAUAGCAUGAUCAAUCUCAAUGCACCAAACAUAAAUUAGUUUUAAAAUAAUAAUAAGAUUAACUACUAUAUUGCUGAAUUAUGCAGUAGAAUUAAAAGCGUGAUUUUUUUUUAAUAGAGCAGGUUAAUCUAGGCCUACCUGAACCAUCUGACUAUGCAUGAGUUUGAUUUUUCUUCUUGAUCUUUUUUAAUUUUACCGACAAAGAAGAUUUUCACAAAUGAAAAGAAAACGUUCUAGUAACAUACUACAUGCUUACUUCAGAUUUGCAACCAAGUCUAUUGAGGGUUUUAUUUGCUACAUAUAUAAACACAAGGAUUUGGUUUGAUACAAAUUAAGAAUAUUCAACUUUCAUCGGCUCAAGCACAUAGAAUCUCCCCGAGUAGUUAUAACUGGUCAAUGUUUUUGCCGAUAAAAAGGAAAAGGAAAGAAAAAAGAAAGAAGCAAGACGGAGAAAAAGUUGUAGUAAAUGAUUAUGCGAUGAAAAGAAAAUGGAAAAGAGAAAGAAAGAAGAAAGUUGUAGGAAUUUUGAAGAAUUUGUACUUAUUUAGAAUUGUGGUUAUUGUGGGAUCUUGUAUAAUAAUAAUAAUAAUAAUAAUAAUAAUAAUAAUAAUUAUUGGGCCGUUCCACGAAUCUUGGCACAUUUUCAAAUAAGGUAAUAAUUCAUUCUCUCUCUUACUUUAUCACUUUAAUACUUUAUUAACUACAAACUUAAAACACUAAUAUACAAUUCCUUAAUUCCCGUGUCGAAACCAAACGUGUCAAGAUUCGUUGGAUGGAGGGAGUAAUAAUAAUAAUAAUAAUAAUAGUAAUAAUAAUAAUAAUAAUAAUAAUAAUACAUCAUUGCCCUUUAAAAAGUUUUAAAAUAGGAACAUAAUAUGUAAAUCUAAUUUUGUAAAAGAAGCUCUUCUAUAGUAAUAGUUAUAGAUUUGGUGUGGAGGCAUUUGUUUGAGAAUGGGUAAAACAUACCAUUAACCCUUUGAUAUAUGCACGAGACACUUAUUUGUGGAUAGGACAAGAAUUAUUUUGUUGCAUAGGAUCCCUUCCAAAUGUAAUUACUGAUUCACAAUUGGAUUAACAAGAAUUAACUUACUUCAUAUUCAGUAUUCCAACUGUUCGAUAAAAGUUCUUAAUGAAAUCUUCCAUAGAUUACCCAAAUGCAUUGUUUUGCAUAGUCCGUACAUUGAGAUGGUCGAGUAUCUUAUGUCUAGACUUAACGAGAGCAGACUCGAUCGCUUAGUCCUUAUUUAUUUACGACACACACACAUCUCAAAAUCACACAAAUUGACGAAUAAUGUUGCCAGCCAGCUCCUUCCUGUUCCACGCGCCAGCAUUUGUCUUCACCAUGGUGGCUGUGAAAUACCAUGAGAUAAUAUCAUGUUUGGCGACGUAUGGUUGGUUUAGUCCGCUGGCGGCGGAGAGCCCUACCUGAACCUGCUCAGGAAGAAACUCGCCCAAAUUGUACACAUGGCUGACCUCAAACGUCUUCGAGCCGGCGGUGGCACUGACGGUGAUCAUCUUCGUGGCUCCGACGUAGUUGAUCCGCGCAGUCACCUGCUGUCCGACUAUGGCGUCUCCGACAUUCGUCGUGUUGCUGGAUUCCCUAGAUCCGAGGUCGAUGCCGAUGUGGGGAUAGUUCGGAUCCCACGGGCUGUUGAUGAAGGUGUCGAACUCGACGGCGAAGACCGAGGGGCUAUUGCCGUUGGAGCCGAAAAUUCCGAGGUUGGCCCCAACAGCGCCACUGGGGAUGGUGGAGCCGACGGGGGCAAUGAAGAAAGCGAGGCCGUCAGCGGUUUUGCCAUCGGGGCUGGGUGUGAUGAUGAAGUUAAUGGUGGUUUCAAAGUCGACUUGGCCACCGGAUUGGGAGAACUGGACCGGCUUCGAGUACAAGACCCGGCCGACCUGGUAUGUCUCGAAGUCGGUGAGGCGGAGGAAGGUGGAGUCCGAUGGGAAAUGGGCGUGGCCUUGGUAGGUGAGAUCGGUCGGCUGGUCGCCCCAGAAGUCGUAGGUGAAGGACGUUGUUUGGGACCACACCGUGUUGGCAGCGGCGGCAAGGAGAAGGGCGAUGGAGAUUAGGGUUUGUUGAAGGUUGGCCAUCGCUUAAUUGAUUUGGAUGUGGUGGAUGAUGGUGGUAUCUUUAUCUUGCUUCUAUUUAUAGUAGUAUAACGAGCCCUAGUUAAUUAUCUUUAAAUCAUACUAAAAUAUCAUAAAUUAAAAUUGAAGAAAAAAAAGUUAAAACCUACUCUCGCAGUCCCUCAAAUAACUUCUUAGGAGAAGAGGGGUAGGAGUUUUAAGACGAAGUUAAUGUGCAAAGUAAGGAUAAA